rnacentral:lncRNA from 1 species
UAAAAAAAAAAGUUGAAAGGAUCUUAUAUUAUAAUUUGAUGGUCUAUUUCCAAAUUGACUAUAAUUGAGAGAGCCUUCAAACAUUUUUCCUAAAAUAUUUUAAUAUUGCUAGUCCCAAUAUGUGGUUCCUAGAGCUUCCAAUUAUUGUCAUAAAUGCAUUCAAGCUCUUUGGCUCAACUUUUUUCUAAUUUCAACAAUACUUUUAGCUAUAGCACCUCUAGAAAUUUUGAAGAUUUAUAAAAUUCUAUUUAUAUGCAAAGGCAACUUCAAUAUGUAAUUUCUUCAAUGAUGUCUGAUAUUGGUCCAUUUCAGCUUUCGACUUUUGCACUUGAGCAUUCAAUACCUGGAAAGCUUGGGAUGGAGUUAUACUCUUGAGAUCCAUCAAAGUAUUCUAUAAUCAUAUAUUCUGUACAAUAAAUCCUUACAGGCAAAAAAGAAGUAUUAUAACAAAUAAAUAUGUUGGAUAAUAAGAAAGAUGAACAAACCUGAAAAUCUGCUAACUUUUUCAAAAUUGCAAUUCUCUCUCCAUGCAAAUUUUUAAUUUCAAGUAAUCGUUUUGAGUGUAAAUUCUGGUCAGAAAGGGAAAAAUAAUAAAAUUUUUGAGAAACUUAUUAAAAUGAAGCUGAAAGCAAAAAGACAAUAUUAAAAUAAUUAAAAAGUAAUUAACAGUGUAAAGAAAAUAUUUAAAUAAAUGAAAGGCGGUAAAAAGUAUUUGGAAUAUAUUUCGUUUGAUUUUAAUACUUAAGGUUUAUGAGAUUAAAACUACAUAUUUGGUUGCAAAAUGAGAAAAAAAAAAGAAAAGCAAAUUACGCAGUAGAGGAGGCAGCAGUAAUAGAAAUUUAAAUUUAAGUUACAGAAUCGGAAUAGUAACUAAAAAGUCAAAAAAAAAAAAAAAAUCAAUUUGAACAGAAGAAUAUUAUAAUACGUAAGUAGUUAAAAAGAAAAAAACGCUUAAGGUCUACCAGAAGAUGAAGCAGUAACAUUAGCAGAACCUGCAGCGGACAUUGAUGUAGGAAAAUAAGCAGCAGCAAGAACUGGAACACAAAGAGAAAUAGUACUAAUAGCAAAAGAGUGAGCAAAAAUAAAUGUAAAACAAAAGAAAAUUUAAGAUGUAGCAUAAUUUGGAGCAAUAUCAAUAGCAGCAAGAGCAGCAGGUGAAAAAAAAAAGUACAUAAGAAGAAGAAAAAGCAAUAGUAUUAGCAUAAUAAAAAUUUUUUAAAGUUAAAAAUAGCAUAAGAUGGAGCAAAAGAGGAAGAAGCAGUAUCAAUAUAACCAUAAAUUUCUCUUAUUUGAUGAAGUGGCUUAAAAUAUAUAAAAAACUCCUAUGUCAUAAGCUAAACUUAUAUUGGAAAGAAAAAUAGUUGGAAAUCAUAAUAAGAAAACGGCAAAACGGAAUUAAUAAGAUAGAACUACAUUAGGUUUCUUCAAAAUUUUACAUAAAUUACUAAAUUGAGUUGGCAGAAACACUAUUGGAAUUCAUAAGAAAAAGAAUAAGCAUAAUAGGUAGGAAACCAACCUGUAUGUCUAUUGCUCUGAUUAUCUUUCGGAGCGGCUUUCAUCUUUUGGCGAACUUAACCCCAUCUUUUAGCGAACUGUUUUAAACUACAUAAAUAUCAUAUUUAAAAUAUAGUACUAAAAGAUUAUGUAAUUAAGAAAUUAAACUUAAAAAAUAAGUUCUUUAAUUAAUUUAAAUAUAACAUAUUUAAAUUUUGAAGUGAAAAUAGUAAUGAUUGACUUAAACCAGACAAAGUGAAAUAUUAAGUAUUGAAAAACUUAAAAAACUUACCUCAUCAAAUAAAAAUUUGUUAUAAUUGAAAUAAGUUCUAUACUUCUUUAACUUUAAUUAUUUUAUAAAGUUUAAUCGCCUCAAUAAUUUACAUGAAUAUCUAUAUUUAAGUUGUAUGAAAUGAAAAUAAUUCAAAAUAAUGCACAUAAAUCAAAUCCUAGAUGGAUACAACUACUGCAUCAAUUAUGAAAUCAAACUAUCUGCAAAAUUAUUCCGAGUAAUACAAAUAAAUCAAAUCCUAAAUAGAUAUAUAGUAAAUAUUCGAAUUUUAAAAACAAAGAAAAGAAAAAUUAUAAUUAGGGUUUUCCGUUUCCAAUGCUUACCUCUCGAUUCUUACAUGAUCGUUUCCAAUUAGCUUCAUCUAUCGAAAAAUUGUUAGAUUAGCUUCUUCCAAAAGUUCAAAGAGAUUGAUGUAGAAAAAACCGUAGAAGCGAAUCGAGAUCGAGAAUGGAGAUAGAGCUUGGGCGACACCGAAAACAGAACGGUAGAAACGAUGAGGCGGAGAAGAGAAGGCGUAGGGGCGGGCGAUAUGGAAAAUGAGGAGGCGGGAGGUUAAAAUGAAAAAAAAAAAAAAAAAAAAAAAAAAAAAAAAAAAAAAAAAAAAAAAAAGAAAAUAACAUAAGAGGAAGGCGAGGGCGGAUAAGGUGAAAGAUUAUGGGAAGUAACCGGUUAAUCAAAGGGUGAGAAAUUAACCGAUUGAAUGGAGAAAAAGAAUAAGAAAUACUAUCUGGUGGGUCCACAAUUUACAAUCUAUAUCUAUACUCUAUACCUAAUAUCAUUAUUCCCAUGAAGUCUUGCCAGUGGCGGUCCCUCCUUUACCUUACCUUCUCUCUCUUCUCUAAUCACAACCCACACUUUCAUCUCCCCACCAAGGAUGGUUUACUAACCAUCAUUAACUUAAUAAUUACAAUCUUAAACCCACACUCUUCAUUCCCAACCAAGGAGUUACUAAGCAUCAUUAACUUUAAUAAUUACGAUGAUCCACACAAUUAGCACCACCAUAAACCCCAUCAUCAUUCAUCUCCUCAUUCUCCGAAACGCAAAUCCACACUCCAACAAUGUCCUAUGUUACAAACCAACUCUUCUUUCUAUUAUUCUUAUUAUUAUUCUCGAACGCGAGUACGAACCCGUCAACGCCAUUCGGGUCGAGCCAUGAUUGUUCGGGCGCGUUGUUUGGGUUCAGCGAAUGCUUGGAGUUUGUGGAGGGCGGGGCGAACGGGGCCGAAUCGGGAUUGCUGCUCUGGGCUCGGUCACGUGCUGAGCCGGAGCGUCACGUGCCUCUGCGAGGCCAUACGAGAAGGGGCAAGGCUAGGCGUACCCGUGAACGUCACCAAAGCUCUCGCUUUGCCCUCGCUUUGUGGGCUCUCCUACACACUAAUAGUCCCCUGUUACAAAAGUAAGAGGUGUAUUUUUUUUAUGGUCCAAUUUCAUAUAUACAAAUUGCUUUCAUAAGAAAAAAUAAGUAAAAUAAGAUUUCUUCGUACUCUUUUUUUUUUCAUUUUUUUGGUGCAUAAGAAUGUAAGGACUGAGAGUUUUCCAAUGCAACUAAACUCUCUGUUGAUGAUGUUUAUGUGUGUAAUUUAAUCACAUAAACACUCGUCAAUUUUCAGGAGAAAUUGAGAUAGAACGGAGAAGUUACGCGAUCUCCAAGUUUCACUUAAAGUGAAUAGUAACUCGGUUUUCCGGAGAAGCCAUGAUGUGAAGUUGGCUUCAGGCUUGUAUCGGACUCCGUUCAUAGCAAUCCAAUAGCUCGUUUCGACCGGUUCAGCUAUUCUGGAACCAAUGGCACUGACGGAUUUCAGAUCUGACGCACGACUUUCGAGAAAAAGGGAUUUUAUCGAAAAGAGGGUUUUCGCUCUUUGCUGUUCUUGCAUAUUGAGACUCCUCGUACUCUGUGUUUGUGACCUAGAGUAAGGUGAGGGAUGUUACAUGUACCUACUAGUGGUAGGAGAUUCAAAUUUAAAUUUGAAUCUAGGAUUUAGUGGGAUUACACAUUGGUAUAUGUGUGUGGUUUUUGGAAAUUGGAGAGCGGACGGGUUUCGUCGCGAAUCCGUGACCGAUUGAUGCGAACCAAAUCGUAGGUUUAUUGUCUCCGUUGUGCUGAUCGCACUAGUGCGAUCCGUUCGCAAAUCUGACAGACGGAUCUGUGGAUAUCGUACGUUGUUCGAGGAGGGGUCUUAGAUGGCAAAUUGGUAUUUUUGCGAAAGGUGCGACAUUUUAUGUACCGUUUCGCGUGAGAUCGCAUAUGGGGGUAUAUGCGCGCGUUUUACUCAUGCUGUGGUGGACCCAGUCCGAAAUUCUGAUUUUUGGUGGACUUAUUUGCAAUUCUGCACCAAGUAUUUAUGGUUGCAUUAGGGUUUUCCACUUGAAGCUCUAACCUAGCCCUAGCCACACCCCCCAGCCACCUUCACCCUGCUCCCCUGCCCUAGUCGCGUGCCUUCCGGUCGCCGCUGACCAAGUCCGGCCGGUCGGCCGCCACCACAUCACCAUUUUAUUCUCUCUCUCUCUCUCUCUCUCUCUCUCUCUCUCUCUCUCUCGGGUUGAGAGGAGGCCCGAGACUGGGUUGCCUCCAAGCUCUGCCCCAGCGUCGCCCUGACCCCAUCGGAGCUUCCCCUGGCCGGUCGCUGCCGCCUGCCGCCGUCGCCUGCGCCGCCGCUGCUAGUUCUGCAGCCUGCGGCCACCCCAGCUCGAGCUCAGGCUAAGGCUUGCGUGCGGCCUCCCCCUUGCGUCGCCGUCGCCCCGGGCCAACCCUGAGGCACCUCCUCGACCUUGGGUAGUCGACCGCCGCCGCCUCGAGUCGCCCGGAGCGCCGCCGGGGCUGCACCAACCGCCUGCUGCCUUCCAGACCGAGCCCGGGCUGAGGCAGGUCUGCGACCUCUUCCCCGCGUCACCACCACCUUGGGCCACCCCGUGGCACCUCCUCCGACCUCGGGUUGUCGGUCUCCGCCUCCCCGAGCCGUCCCAAGCGCCGCCGCCGCGCUGCAGCCGCCUGGCGGGUUCCCUGGGCAAGCUCGGUCCGAGCCGAGCUCGCAAUUCCUUCCCUGCGUCGCCGCCGCUCGGGGCCGCACCCGAGGUACUCCUCCGGCCUCUGGGGACCUGCCGCCGUCGUCCCUGAGCGCCCCGGACGCCGCCGUGGCCGCAACUGCCCUCGGAACCCAAGCCGGAUCUUGUGCGGGCUUGGUUCUCUCCUCCGCCGCCGCCGCCGCUUCUAGCCGCCACUUGAGGUGAGCACCGUAUUCCUCACCUCUCCCGCACCCAUCCCUGGCCCCUGUGCGCGCCUCCAUGCCGCCGAAAGCCGGCCGGAGCAAGCUUGCUCCGGCCAAGCCCGAAAUAGGGUUUUUAGGGAGUGGGUUGCCGUUUUGUGCUUUCCAGGGCUUCUCGACCUCUACGGAAGGGAGCACGAUGAUUGCAACUCAUCGCUGAUCACCGUGCUCACCUUGGUUUCUAUCGGAAAGGCCCCGAUCCAUUGUUUCGGUGAUGUUGCGCCGUUUGAGCCUUUUUGACUACUGUUUUUGGUUUGCGUGCAUUGUUCCGGCGAUCCGAGGCUGUCCUGAUGCCUCCGGAGGUGAGCAUGGUGAUUCUUGGUCAGUACCGAUCACAAUGCUCACCUUACUUUGGAUCAAGGAUGUCGUAUAGUCCUGUUUGGCACAGUUUUCCCCGACUUCGCGCUGUUUCGCUGAUAUUCGCGUCGCUCGUGCGCGUGCCACAGUGGCCGGCAGUGCUCCGAAAGGUGAGCACGGCCUCCGGCACGUCAAAACCUGUCAGUGGGUAUCUUGGCUUGGCUGAUCGACCACUGGUUUGCGUGGACGGACCAUAAAAGCGCCGAAAUCGCAUGAAAUAAUGCGAUUUCGGGUAAUCGGGAGGGCUUUUAUGUAUUUUAGGUUGUUGCGGUUGUUGUUGGCAGCAUGGAUGAGUUGUGGGUGACCUCUGGACUGAUUGUCCAUGGCCCUGGACCUUUGCGAAGAUCGAAAAUGCAUUUUCGGAGCAUUUUUCGGCGAAAUCCGCUGAUAGAACGCGUUUUCGAUUCGGAAUUCUUUCGACGGUACUUGGGGAUCAUUUGUUUCGUCGCUGACCCUUGUUGGCUGGUCGCCCGCGUCGUUUUGUGGGUUUGGAAAUGACAGGUGAGCGACGGUGAAGUUCCAAUGCGGUUUUCGGGACUUCCGGUUUGUUCGGUAAUCGGUUUUGGGAAACCGAUUAUCGUGGGUUUAUUUGUGGGGUUACGCUUUUAGGGUUUCUUAGUUGUGGGUUAGACACUAACCCAGUGGACCCUCCAUAGGUCCUGUUGACGUACUUUUGUAGUCAGGAGACAGGCGCGACAGUUAUACAGGUGGGUACUUCGAUCCGACGUCGGUACAGUGGUGCACGUUCGGUGAUGGUUUCUUACCUUUGCCCUCUUACUAUUAUCUGUGUGCUUAUACUAUAUGUUGAGCCUAGCAUCCACGUUGUUUGGUUAUACUCUACUCAGAUAUUUCCAUGCUUAGUAUCAUGUGUAGGAGUAUAGUCUAUCUGUAUUUGAUAUCAUGUUUUCUUGUUGCUCUACUUGCUUGUUUUACAUAUCUUAUAUCAUGUUUAUAGUAGAGCGGUUCCGUGACCAUCUGUGAAAUUAGUGACGUAGUCGGUCGAUUUUAGUAUCCCGUAAUUGUGACCUACUCGAUCAGUUCCUUGAUUUCUAUUAUUCGAUGACCUAUACGGUUGGUAUACCCUAAGGGGUGGGAUUGUCGGCUAGUUGUCGACGAAUGAUUAUAGUUUUCACAGAUCCGUCAUUAGACCCGUUGUGACCUAGUCUGUUCGUUCUGGAUUCUUGCCGUUUGAUGACCCACGAGGUCGGUGUACCCUGAGGGGUAGGAUUGUCAGCUAGUGGCUGACGGCAGUUCCAGAUUAUAGUGAUACAUAUCCUAUACUUGUGACAUGAUUGGUCGAGUUCAUAUCCUACACUUGUGACAUUAUUGGUCGAGUUUCAUAUCCUAUACUUGUGACAUGAUUGGUCGAGCUUCAUAUCCUAUAUUUAUGACCUGGUUGGUCGAGUUUCAUACGCUAUACUUGUUACCUGGUUGGUCGAUUUGGUUACAUGAUACCCAUACGGUCGAUGGGCCCUGGGGGGCAGGAUUGUCGGCUGGUUGCCGACGGUUGAUCAUUGAGCAUAUUGCAUUGAUCGCCCGAUACUCGUCGCAUUUCACGAACACUGGCGGUCUGAUCCACCGCAAGGAGUGUUCUUUUCCGGAAAAGUGGUUGAAUGGUGACAACCCGUGAGCCCUAGAGGGGUUAUAUGCACUGGAGAGUAGUAGUGGCAUUGGCUUGAGGUCUGCGGUGCUGACCAAGAGAGCAUUGGUUUUAGAUUGGGUACUUUUGGACUGAUUGUCCCGUUGAUGCAUACGUCUAUAGUAGCAGUUGUUGCAUGCAUACUUACAGUUCUUUCUAUAUACUUGUCUUGCUACUAUAGUUUGAUACCCAGGUAUGUUUUAUAUUCUUCUUACAGUAGCGAUAGUCGUUCUUAUACAUUCUGUUCAUGUAUUAUUGUUGCUACUGUAUUUAGUAUAUCUGCUCAUUACCUUAUACAUCUCUUUCGUUUACUAUUGUUCCUACUGUAUUUCCACUGACCCGUAUUGUUAUAUAGCUCUUCCUGAUCCGGUGAGUACUCCUCGCCUUCUUCGGCUUGCGGUACCCACUGGGAGGGGAGACAUGUUUACAUGUUCUCACCUCCCCCACUAUUUUUCAGGUAUCGUGGGCGGUGAGGGUUGAGACGAGACGUGAGAUACGUAGCGGUCGAUAGAGCUUCCAACCCAGGUUAUUUCGAUUUAGUUAUUACCCCUAUUAUUUCUGUUGAUGUAUAGUUUAGUUGGUUUAUGUGGUUCAGUAUUUCAUUACGUUAAAAUAAGAGGAUUUCUGGAUUUUGUAAAAUAAAAGAUUUUCUACCCCUCGUGGUAGCAUGUUUUAAAAAGAAAAGAUUUCCGUGUGGGAAACAACUUUCAAAAGAGUUUUCUCGUGGCUUCUAUGUUUAAACACUGAAUGGUAAAUAUCUGGUGAAUGGUGACUGAAUGUUGAGUAUUGUAUAUUCAUGUAUUGUGGUUGUAUCCUGGUUAUACUCUGUUUGUACUUUUGUACUUGUGCGAUGCCGUGCAAAUACAGGGAAGACUCUGUCCGUGUGAACAGUGAAUUUCCUGUAUUUGUGGCGGAUCUGGCAUACCCUGGGGUUAGGCUUAAAAAAAAAAAAAAGAAAAAAAGAAAAAAAGAAAAAAGAAGACGCUAUUCCGCUGUGUUUCAAACAAGAAAAAAAGGACCCCGGGGCGUGACAAAGAAUGGUUCAUAUUUUGUAAUUUUUUAAUUUUUUAAUUUUUGUUAUCUUUUUGUUUUUAAAUUGUAUGUGUACUGAAAUUAGGGUUUCGUGGAUUGUAGUGCAGCAUCGCGGGGGAAAGCGAAGAUAGAUUUGGAGUCAAUGAAAGGAAAGAAGUAGUAGGUUCGGAGAGAUCGGUAGGAAAUCAACGUGACUGUGACGAAAAAGGAGCUUAACGUUGAUAAUGGCGGCAAAGGUAAUAUGGAGAUGGGGAUUCGUCUCCCCGAUGUCGGUAGUGCGAUCAAGAUGCGUAUGGAGUAAUAAUUCUAUUGUUGCUUCUUUCAUUACUAUUUUUUAUAAUUUAUUUACUGAAAUUAUAAAUUUUGUUACAUUUGUACGUAUAUCAGUUUCAUCUCUUUUAUUUGUAUAUAUGUUAAUAUAUAUUAUCUUUAUUUAUUAAUGUCUUAUGGCAAUUCAAAAACUUUAAAAUUUUUACUUUGUAAAUCUUUUGUCUUCUAUAGCAUCAGCCCGCCGCAAUGCGCGGGUAACUUCACUAGUGCAGCUUAAUUAUGUGCUGACCGGUGGGGUCCACAUGCCCCUAAUUAAGCAUAAUCUGCCACGUGGACUUAUUAAUAUAAGUUAAUAGAUAUUAUAAAUUGUUAUAUAAAAUAGUAUAAAUAAUUUUUUAUAAAAUAUAUUGAUAUAAAUAAAUUAUUUUAUUUUUAAAAUAUUCAUGAAUAUUUCAAACGUAAAUUUAUAGUAGUUCUAAAUUUUUCCGGAAUAUGAGUGAGGCUGGUAUGCUUCUGGAAGUACGGAGCGUUUCGUAUUUCCAAGCCGUUUUUGAUGUCGUGACUUUUGAAUCGACGAUCUCUCCCGUUAGAUUUGAUCUAGAAUAUUUGAAGUAUCUAAAAAAUAAAUUUUAUAAUUUUUCGAUAUCAUUUGCCUAGUGAUCGAAGGAGCUCAAAAUCAAUCAUUUUAAUGGUCGUGUUAAGUCGUUUGCAAGUUUAACGGUGUAGAAAUAUCUAAAUUCUAUCAAAUUUUGAUAGAAAAUUCGUUAUACUAAUAUAAAAUAAGUUUAAUAUUUUUAAUCUAAAAUUUUAAUGUCAUAUCAUUAUAUUUUGUAAAUUUUUUAUUUUUAGUCGUUAAUUUUGAGUUCUUUAAUUACUAGACAAAUAAUAUUAAAAAAUUAAAAAAUUUAUUUUUUUAGCUACUUUUAAUUACUAUAAAUUAAUUUUAAUGGAGUGGAUCGUACGUUCGAAAGUCCUAACAUUAAAAACCGUGCUUCCUCCCGGAAUAUAAUCCCGUAAAUGAUAAUAGGAGCGUCAUUUGAUUCUCUUACAACAUAAUCUUGUAAUCUCUUCUUCUUCUUCUUCUUCUCUCUGGGCAUACUCCCCCACCCAUAGUUAUCAAAUGGUCUCCUUUUCUACUUCUUACUGCCUCCUCUCUCUUCUCUCUCCCUCUCCCUCCUCUCUCUCCUCCUCCUCCAUCUCCGCGAGGUCCCGAGCUCCGCCCAUGGCGACCUCUUCGUCCGCGGCGGCGCCUCCUCGUUUGGUCGUGGCAUGCUCCUCCCCUCCCCGCGCUGGCUCUUUUCCGGAGCCCCCCAAUUUAGGGUAAAGAUCGUCUCUUUCUGGGGAUUCCUAAAUGCCCUGGUUGUAGGAACGAGGUGAAACUGAGUGGCUGGAUGCCGUAGAGGUGUUUGAUGAAAUGUCGAGGAGGGCGUUGAUGUUUGAAUCUCUUAAAGGUGUUGAUUUGGAUCUUGAUUGGAGGGUUGAAAAAGAAGUGUAUUUUGAAGUUUGAUUAGUCCCAUUAGGGUAGGGUUAGGGUAGUGUUAUUAACCAAGCAACUUUUACUCUUUCUGGAGAUUUCUUGAACCUGGUUACCAGCUGAGUCGGUUUUGGAUUGGUAGUUGUAUGCCGUAGAGGUAUUUGAUAAAAUGUCCACGAGGGUGUUUAUGUUUGAAUCUCUUAAAGGUGUUGAUUUGGCUAGCACGAAAAAAAAAAAAAGUGUAUUAUCAACUUUGAUUAGACCCUUUAGGGUAGGGUGGUGUUAUUAACCAAGCAACUUUUACUGUUUUCGAAGAUUUGUUGAACCUGGUCAUUAACUGGUGUCUGGAUUUGACUAGAUUUGAUGAAUCUGGUCCAUGCACAGUAAAAAUGAUUCCUUUGUCCUUUGCGGCUUAUUUGGCCAGGCUGAAGCUUUUUAUGGAAAUAUUGUUUGAAUAAAACUGUUCAUCAAAUAUCUAUCAAUUUUUUUUACAUCCCUUUUAAUUUAGAUUCCUUUAACUGCUCUUCUGAAGUCAGAAACUGAAACUUUAGAUCAGAUUUUGGAUCGAAAAUCCCAUUUCAAUUUUAUGCUCAAGCCGUUUGCAUUAUAGUCCUAAAGUAAAAAGUAGUUAUCAUGUUUAUAUUUUAUGUUGCUUUGGAUAACUAUGUAGAUUUUUACUCCAAAGUUGCCUAAUAACAAUGUAAUGAGUUGUUCCAUGUAUUCAAUGCUGUGAACUAUCAGUUGUAUCUUAGGAUUUAUUAUAAUUCACUUUUGUGGUGAUAAUGAUACAAUAUAAAGCGUUAAUCGCAAAUUUAGUUCCCGAAUUUUGACUCAGAUUGCAAUUUAGUACUCAGAGUUUGUUGUUACAAUUUAAUUUAUGAAUUUUGAUGUAGAUUCAAUAUUGUUCCUAAUUUUGACCGAGACUUCACUUUUGUUCUCAAAGUUUCAGCUUUGAGAAAGAAAAGGUCUAAGGGUGGAACUGAUGUGUCACCUUUUAUUGAAAAUAGAUCAAUAGAAAAUGACUUUUCAUGCAAAACAAGCUAUGAGAAUUGAAACUAGAAGGAUGGCAUUGAAAUCAAGGCCAAACUUUAGAAAGUUAACAUGUAAGUAAAUCGAUUACUAAUUACCUAAAAAAAACUAUUACAAAUAAAUAGCAAAUUAACAAUCCCGCAUUUCUUAAUUAUUUUGUUAAUUUGUUUUUUCUUUGUCUGGUGUUGUUCCAAAUAGACCUCAAAGAGCAACUUUCUCUCAUUUUGGACUUUCGGCCAAUGAAGAUGCCAGGCUCAGGUCUUCAUAUAAAUGGCAGAGGGUUUUGCUGAAAGUCAGCGGUGAAGCGCUUGCUGGAGAUCACACGCAAAAUAUUGAUCCAACAGUAAGAAUGCUUACUUUCUUCCACUCUUAGUAACAAUGGAUCCUACUGCUACUCUGAUCUGUUUUGGGUCAAAAUAUAAGAGAAGAGAAACUACCAUUGAUUUAGUUGUUAGAGAAGAGUAACUUAUGUUGUUUUAUUUGUUCUCAUGCAUGGUCUUAAUCACAAGCAUGUAUAUAUGUAUAUUAUUCUUGUGGUCUACUAUUUGUGAUCCUACUAGAGAGGGCCUAGAGAAUUAAUAUAGACUGGAUAGUAAACUAAACGCCCUUUCCUCGAGUUUUAAAAUAAUUGGAAAAUCAUAUAUUUUAGGUCUCCUACAGAAUGAGUAAAUUAAGUUAGGUUUUUUUUAUCCUGGGUGUUAUCUGUAGGUUGUGAUUGUCACAUGGGGUAAAGUGCAAAUCUUGAUAUAUUUUAGGGGAUUAUUGAACGGGGUUAAAUACAACUGCUUCCUAGGUAUACAGAAUUGCUCCCUCUCUCUCUCUCUCUCUCUCUCUCUCUCUCUCUCUCUGGGUGGGAGGAUGGAGAUGGGAAGCUAAAUUUUAAAGCAUUUUCUUUUUGUUUAAUAUCCUAAAUUUUGAAAGUUUGGCUUUUAUGGGCAUUAUGGUAAUCCCAAUCUUGGUUAAAAUAAUUUCUAUAUAUUGAAUCAUUAGUGAGUCAAGUCUUGUACACGUAAAUUACAUGUAUUCAAGAAAUAGAGGUGGGUUUAUCAGCUUCUAAUUAUUUCCUUCUUGCAUUAGUACCAUCCACAUUUUCAUCCUGUCUUUGUGUGUUAUUGGGUGUUUGUUGUGCUUGAUGUUCUCUCUCUCUCUCUCUCUCUCUCUCUCUCUCUCUCUCUCUCUGUGACACACAUACAUGCACGCACAAAACACGCACGCACAAAACACGCACAUACACGGACAAACCAUUAUACAUGGUUUCGCCAUUCACGGUUAAUGCUUUGUCCUUUGUCUGCAGAUUACAAUGUCGAUUGCCAGAGAAGUUGCUUCCGUCACUAGACUUGGUAUAGAGGUGUGUCCUUCUUCAUAUUACAUUUAAUUGCACUUAUGUUUUAAUUGCUUAGUUAAUGGAUUUCAGUUCUGAGAUUGUAAUACAAAAGCAGCCUCAAUCAGAAAGGCAAUUCUCUGAGAUAAUGCAAUGUAUCUUGCUAAUCUCAGUAAAUGAUUCAUUCUCUGUGGCUUAACAAUACUUCAAAUCCAUCUCUAAUUAUGGAAUACAGAUUCAUUUUCCGGGGCAACUAUUUAUUUCUUGGUUAGUUAAUCUUGAAAGUCAAAGGAGGAUAGAGUAAACCUUUGUCCAAAUUUCUUUUGAAAAUUUAUCAACUCUUCCUCUAGAGUGAAGUGAGCUUAUGUUAAUGAUAUCUGACCUGAUUAGAUGCAAAAAUGAAUAAACGACGUAUUGUCCAAUUGAUAUGACAAAUGUCGAAAACUAUCUGUUUUGUUUUGAGGUUUUCGUGGAAUCUUAUUCUAUCUUUUUGUUCACUUAAUAGCUGUGAUUUUGAGAAUGUAAUAAAUGCUUAUUUAAUUCCUCAACAGAUGUGUGCUUUACAUUGCUUGUCCUGGACAUUUUUUUUUCAAAUUUCUGUGGAAAAUUGCUUAAAGUGUGCUCAGUUUUUAUUUAUUUGACUAUUGCCUGUAUAUAUUUAGAAAAGUCGUUGCUUGUUUAGAAUAAAAUUUGUUGGUAAUCAUGCCGACUGCUCUCAUAGAGUUUAUUGAUAAAGUGCGUGAACGUUUUUUAGGUUGCUGUUGUAGUCGGUGGUGGUAAUAUCUUCCGUGGAGCCUCUUGGGCUGGCUGUAGUGGUCUUGACCGUUCCUCAGCAGAUUACAUUGGGUAUGAAAAUUCAGCAUUUUUGUGCUUCUAUUAUUUAGUGAAUUACCUUUACAAUAUUUCAAGCCAACUUAUCUUUUGCCUUCAAAGCAAAUGACAAUGUUACGUCUCUAGCCCAUGCUGAGCUGUAGUGUAUUUGGAAAUGGGUACUUGAACCCCAAAUAUUUCGAUUUUACUACCUCACCUUUCUUUGCAUUUGAUUUCAGAAAAUUCUGUCAAGUUCUGUCACAGUUUAAAAGAGCAUUAUCUUAGGCACAAAAUAUUCCAUUAAAUUUUGACCGAGAGGUACUUAAAUGAAAUAUUUUAUAAUUUUAAAUAAUAAAAUUAAAUUUCUUAAAGUACAGUUGCCCAUUUCAUAUUUUUAUGCAUAGAUCUAAAUUUUAAAAUCUACUCUCAAAGCGCGAUGUCAUACAAGUAUAUUCCCGUACAAGUAUAUAACCUUACCGUGAAUUGGGCAGCCACCCGAUUCAUGGGGCUUUUGUAUCAGAAAAAGUUCUACUGAGAGGCACUUUUGUAAAUUCAAAAAUAAUAUACAUAAAAAAUUAUGUUCUGAAGGAUAUGUAUGAAAUUCAUAUUUGCAGUGAUAUAUAUGUAAAAACACAUUUCGUACGGAUUACGGAUGUAUAUGUAAAUAUCUCUUUAUGGUGUUUAAUAUUUUCCCUCAUUCAGUAUGCUAGCAACUGUGAUGAAUGCGAUAUUCCUGCAAGCAACAAUGGAGAGCAUUGGGAUUCCCACACGCGUCCAAACCGCGUUUCGCAUGUCAGAAGUCGCGGAGCCAUACAUAAGACGAAGGGCAAUAAGGCAUUUAGAGAAGGGUAGAGUUGUUAUAUUUGCUGCCGGAACAGGCAAUCCCUUCUUCACCACAGAUACUGCUGCUGCUCUCCGUUGCGCAGAGAGUAAGUAAAAUUAGCAAGUCUUUACUGAUUUUAGUUCCUAUAGUCUAACCUCGAUUUCGAUGUCAUCCUUGUUCUUUUCAAUUGUAAAUAUUUACUUCAGAAGUUUAACGGGCAAAGUGAUAAAUCCUGUAUACUGUCUGAAGAAGGCUUUGUUGCGUUAAAGUAGAAAAUAACACAAUCGAAUUUAGGUCAAACUCGAGGGGUAAAUCGUUAAAAUUGAAACUCUUGAGGAGAAAUUUGAAAUGGGAGCUGAACUUCAGCAACAAUUGAAACUCUUGAGUAGAAAAUUGAAAUCCGAGUUAAACUUUGGAACAAAGUUGUGAAUGUACAUGUCAAUGUUAAUUUCUACAUAGUGUCAGUUUGGCUAGCUUCUAAAAUAGUUGCGCUACUUCAAAAGUAGAGUGUUUGGCAAAUAGAAGUUCUGGAGCUUCCCGCUGGAGGUGGGAUGUCAAAAUGAGCUUUUCAGCCCUAAAACUCUAAAAAUUUCAUAGCUCUGGUUAGGACCAUCUGCUUCUAGCUCCGGUAGGAAUUAUCUGAGGGUUCUUAGUGAAAAAGGCACUAAUGCAGAAGCUGUACCCUAAGAGCAUUUCUGCAGAAGCUACAAACCGGCCAAACAGGUCCUUUCCUGGUCAAUUGUUUUAUUUGUUGAUCCAUAUAAGUGCAACCAAUUGAUAGUUCUUUGAUUUUAUUAACAUUUUAAGCUUAUUUGCUUAAUUGAAUAGGUUUUCAUUGCAGUCAGAAGAUAAUGGAACUUUUCCAACUUACGUGCUUAACAUGCUGCAACUACAACGGUGUUCAGAGAAAUUUGACUUGGUCUUUAUUUUUGUGCAUGAAUAUUCAGUUGGCGCAGAGGUCGUGCUUAAAGCAACAAAUGUAGAUGGUGUAUUCGAUGAAGAUCCCAAGCAUAACCCAAAUGCUCGCCUUCUCGAAACCCUAAGCUAUCAGGAGGUGACCACCAGAGAUCUCUCUGUAAUGGACAUGACUGCUAUUACCCUCUGCCAAGAGAAUAACAUUCCUGGUAUGACAACAUUAUACCUUUUAUUUUUCUUGGCUCAAUAGCAGGCAACCCCCCCUGUAAAUAUGGAAUUUCCAUUUUUUUUUUUUCCUGUGAACCCCUCAAACUUCAAUGUUUGGUCACCUCGCGCUAGGCAACAUCUGCAGGGUGUUUUUCCACAUUUCUGUAUUGAUAUUUUCAAGUUUGUUUGGCUUUCGCUUUCCAUACUAACCGCAAACAAUGCUGCAGUUGUUGUGUUCAACUUGAAUAAACCUGGAAAUAUUGCGAAAGCUAUCGUGGGCGAGAAGGUCGGCACAUUGAUCGGGGGCACCACAAGAAAUCUGCAGCUGCAGUAUGAAGGGAGUUUUUAAGAUCUUCAAAUGAGAGCCCCGUAAAUUCGAAAUUCAAGGUUUGUCAAAUUUUACAUAUUUUUUUUCCUGGUCUACAAGAUCAGAAUUUUAUUUGUUGUAUAUUUAUGUUGUAGAGGAUGACCUUGAUUGAUCAUAAGAGCUUCAAAGUCCUAAAGAAAAGAUUUUGCAGUAACCUUUUCAGAUUACAUUUUUAUCAUGUUGUUGCUGAUUUGGCUUCAUUGCUGAAACCCAAAUAUUGCAUCAAUUUUAACAAUGUCUUUUUACAUUGUACCAAAAUGUCUCAAAAACUUUAUAAUGGUAUUCAAAUUGAUGUUACCAACUGCUAGGCUUGUACUGGAUUGGUAAUUUUGCAACUUGAAUAAUCUGUAGUACUGGGGUUCUGGUAUUUGAAGAUUUUAGAAAUAAAAUUUCAUAUUUUUCCUCUAUUAUUACUUUAUGAUCAAAUUAUUUCAAAAGUUCCAAUUUUUAAUGACUAUUAUGACAAAUUCGAAGUUUAACGGUGUAGAUAAAUCUAAACUAAUCCAAAUUUUAAUGGAAAAUAUUGUAAACUAUCGAGAUUAAGAUCGACAUUCUUGAUCUUGAAUUUUAAAGUUCUAUUCUUAAUAUUUGAAGAUUGUUCAAUUUUUAUUGUUUCUUUUGACAUGAUUUGUUUAUUAAGGAAACAGCGUCACAAAAAAUAAAAUUUUAUUUGUAAAAGCAUUAUAUAUCCUAAGUUAUGCAUAAUGGUGUGGAUCGUUAAUGGUGUGGAUCGUUGAUUUGAGAAUAAAUUUUUUACAAUAUCUACGUGUAACAAACAAGUACAGGAAAGAACUAGUUAGAUAUCAAAGAAACUAAAGGGACAAAGAUCUGUGUUUGGAAAAAGCUAUUCAAAUUUGUAUUUAUGUGCUAAUUUAUUCCACUCACAUGAUUUUACUCUAUAAAAAUAAUUUUCUCCACCAUAUAGUUUGUAUGAAUUUUGUAUCUAAAUUUUGCAGUAGUGUUAACUGUUUUCAUCUUCCUUUUUUUUUUUUUUUUUUUGUGCAUGAGAGGUAAUUGAUAGAGACUAAAGUGGAAAAGAGUUUUUGUAGUAGUUUGGCAAAACCAAAAAUGGACUCUUUAUAAUAUUCUUUAAAGCUUUUAAAAAUUUUAAAUUUAAUUAUAUUUUUAAUUUUUUAGAACGACACGAAACGAUUUACCGCUUUCAGUAAGCACAUGCCUCACUAUUGCAUAAUUAAAAAAGGUAAACUUUAAUUUGCCCCAUGUCAUUUAGGGGUGUUUGGGUCGUUUAUUUUCGGUAUGAAAAAUAAUAUUUUCUUGCUUAUUUGGUUAUUUGUAGAAUAAUUUUUUCGUAAAAAUAUUAUUAUGGAUUUGAGAAAAAAAUUAAAGGCUAAAUUACAUAAAACCCUCCGUCAAAAUCCGAUUUUUCAUUUUCUUCCUCUGUUAUUUAAAAAUCUACACCUUCCCUCCUUGUAAAAUAAAAAAUGUUCACAGAGGGUACGGUGUGUACUGUGAUGAUAAAAUGACCAUUUUGCCCCUCACCAUUAUCGUCUCCUCCCUCAUCUUUCUCAACAGCAACAUCAAUCGGUCACGGUUUACGCCUCAAUAGGCUGCAGUUUCUCUCUAUUUUCUUCCCCACCUGCUCCCCUCUCUUCCUGCACUCUCGCCACCUCUCGAUUUCGGCGAUAGUAGGGUGGAAAUCGAGGUGGUGGUGGAUGGAGAGGUAGGUAACGGCAACGAGGGCGAAGGUGAGGUGGCGGAGGAGGGCGAAGGGGUGGUGCGGACGGGGAUGUGGGCGAGGGCGAGGGCGAGGCAACGGAGGAGGGCGAGGCGGCGAAGCAACAGGAAGAGGGCGGAGGGGUAUUUUUGGUAGAAGAAAAUAUUUUAUAACGGAAUCCUAACAGAUCACUAACGGUAGGGGGCAAAGUGCACAUUUUUUAUUUUACAAGGAGGCAAAGUGUAGUUUUUUAAAUGACAGGGGUGGAAAGUGAAAAAUCUCGUUUUGACAGGGGGGUUUUCUAUAAUUUAGCCAAAAUUAAAAUUUUCAUUUUUUGUUGUUUUUCAAAGAAAAACAAAAAUUCUAUGGAAUUAAUUUACUAUUAUACAAUAAUUUAUUUAUAAAUAUUAUAUUUAUAUAUGAUAUAAUAUAUUACAUGUGUUAUUAUCUAUUAUCUUAUAUAAAUAAAUUAUUAUAUUAUAUAUUAUAUAGAGUUGGGUUGGGAUGCUAUUGAUAGCAUCCAGCCAACUUUGCCACCUAUUUUAUAACCCUUGGAUCGCAUCGAGAUCCGUGCCACACCUUUAGUCAAAACUUGAGAAAAGCUCCAUUAGAUCCCCUCCGUUAUCUCUCUUUUUCUCUCUCUCUCUCUCUCUUUGUCUCUCUCUCUCUCUCUCUCUUCUUUUCUUUUUUCUUUUCCUUUCUUCUCCACAGACCUCACCUCCCGCCAAACCUCCCUCCUCCACAGCAUGCCCACCUCCCACCUCGCCCACUCGCCCCCUCGCCGCAGUUUUCGCCCGCCCGCUUGCUCUCUCACUUUCUCUCUUUCUUCUUUUCUUUUUCUUUUUCCUUUCUUCUCCACAGAGCUUACCACCAAACCCUCCCUCCUCCACACCCCGCCCACCUCCCAUCUCGCCCACCUCGCCCACUCGUCCCCUCGCUUGCUCGCUCGCUUGCUGGCUCGCUCACCCCCUUGCCUACUUCUCAGGUUUGAUUCUUUGUUUUAUUUUUUUUAGUUGUUUGGUGAAUAAAUUAUAGGAAAAAAAUAUUAUUUGGUGAAACAAAUUACAGGAAAAAAAAUAUUGUUCUGUGUUUAAAAAAUCUGAAAAAAAAAUCUGAUUUUAUUAUACAAAAUUUGAAUUUAUUAUAAAAUCUGAUUUUAUUAUACAAAAUCUGAUUUUAUUAUUCUAGCAUCUAUUUUAUUAAUCUCUUGGCUACUUGCAAUUCUUGUCCUUAGAACUAUUGAUAUUGAGUAAGUGAUUACACAGGCUCUGAUUCUAUGAAAGAAAAGAUAGUGUACGGAAUUCAUGUGUAUUAGCAUUCUUUGAUGAUUUUUUUCUAUGCACAGAGAAGGUUGCUCUUCUUAUUUUUUAACUACAUUUCUGCAAUUUUGAAUGAGAGUUUUUAAGUGUUUAAUGUUUUGAGUUCAGUGAUUUAGACUACUGAAAUCUACAGUUGGUAAAUAUCAUGCUUCUUACUAAUUUUUAUUUUUAUUUUUAUUUUUUCUGAAGGUUGGAGUCAAAUGGAUUAGAUAAUAAUGUUGAGAUAGGUGAAGUCUGUCUCAAAUGGUCUGUCACAGUAAACUGAAAAGGAUGGUGCUACAUAUACUACAAAAGGCCAAGAAGAGACAGAUAGCUCAAGUGACUCUGUAUGAAGAUAAACUUGUAACAUGCGUAAACAAUGGCUGAACUAGGCUUCUUGUUUGUAGUAUGUAUUUUGCUAGUAAUAACUCUGAAAUGAUACUUAUUAUCCAGAUAGUUUAACUUGUAGAAUGUUCAAGUGAUCUGGAUGAUUUAACUUAUUGUAGAAUGUUUAUCAUCGACAGGUAUUUGUUGCUUUCUGCUGUCUCCUUUUCCACUGUUGUUAAAAUUUGGUGCUCUGCUUCAUGCUAUAGUGUUUCAUUUGCUUUGUGUAACUCUGCUCAUACUGACUUCUCUAGAACUUCUGGAUGGACCAAAUUAACUUUGCCCUUAAUAGGCACCAAAAGUACCAUAGAAUGUUUGAAUAUUUGGUUUUAUUAUUAGGAAUACUGAUUUGAAGAAUUUUUUUUUUCAAACUGUGGAGUUUUUAAGCUGCAAAUGACUCGCAACCAGCUAUAGUUAGGCUAUGUGUGGAUUAUUGCAUUUGUGGAUUAUUGCAUUUAUUCUGAUUUGGAGUUUUUUUUUUCAAACUGUGGAGUUUUUCAAACUGUACCAUAUAAUGUUUGAAUUUUUUUUUCAAACUGUGGAGUUUUCAAACUGUGGAGUUUAUUCUUACCUAUAAUUAAGCAGGCCUAUCAUGAUAAUGUGGACAACAGAUCUAUUCUUUAAAAAUAGUGGCCUAUCCUGACCUGUGAGAUGGCUACUUGACAAAUUGGUAUUUAGUGUAGAACACAAUCAAAUUAAAGAUAUAAAAUCAUACAACACAAUCAAAUUAAAGAUAUAAAUUCAUUAAUUAAAAAUAGUGGUUACAAACAUAGUUCAAAUAGCCUUUAGUUACAUUAAAAUCUUCACAUACAUCAUUGCGACGAAGACAAACAGUACAACCAAAUACAACUUUAUCUUAAAAAUUCUUCUAUCUGUAAACUAAGAAGCAGUAAUUUAAUUACUAUUUUAUACGAAACCACAUUUAUAUUAAACAAGGAUCAUGGAACAAGGAUGACAUUAUGCUCAAUCUCCACCAAAGGGGCAGAAUCAGGCAGUUCUGCUAUGUCUGACCAAGAAGCUGCCGCCCUAUAAACCAAUUCAAACGGAGAAGCUAAGCAAGUCGAAACCGGUUUGAAUGGCAAUAAUUCCAUGCAUUCGGAAAAUGAGAAACAAACUGAUCUUGGGAAGCCCCCUAGGGAUGAAAGUGUGGAAGAAAACUGCGACGAGGAAUUAGGCAAGUGCUUCGAACUUGUGUCCUGAUAUAAAAAAAUCAGAUUUUAUAAUAAAAUCAGAUUUUAUAAUAAAUUCAGAUUUUGUAAUAAAAUCAUAUUUUAUAAUAAAUUCAGAUUUUUGAAAAUCAGAUUUUAUAAUAAAUUCAGAUUUUGUAUAAUAAAAUCAUUUUUUUUUCAGAUUUUUUAAAAACAGAACAACAUUUUUUUUUCUGUAAUUUGUUUCACCAAAUAAUAUUUUUUUCCUAUAAUUUAUUCACCAAACAACUAAAAAAAAGAAGAAAGAAUCAAACCUAAGAAGUAGGCGAGGGGGCGAGCGAGCCAGCAAGCGAGCGAGCAGGCGAGGGGGCGAGUUGGCGAGGUGGGCGAGAUGGGAGGUGGGCGGGGUGUGGAGGAGGGAGGAUUUGGUGGUAAGCUCUGUGGAGAAGAAAGGAAAAAGAAAAAGAAAAGAAGAAAGAGAGAAAGUGAGAGAGCAAGCGGGCGGGCGAAAACUGCGGCGAAGGGGCGAGUGGGCGAGGUGGGAGGUGGGCGUGCUGUGGAGGAGGGAGGGUUUGGUGGGAGGUGAGGUCUGUGGAGAAGAAAGGAAAAGAAAAAAGAAAAGAAGAGAGAGAGAGAGAGAGAGAGAGAGAGAGAGAGAAGAAAGAGGGAUAACGGAGGGGAUCUAACGGAGCUUUUCCUAAGUUUUCACUAAAAGGGCUGCACGGAUCUCGAUGCGAUCCAAGGGUUACAAAAUGGGUAGCAAAGUUGGUUGGGUGCUAUCAAUAGCAUCCCAGCCCAACUCAUAUUACAUAUAUUAUAAUAUAAUAUAAUUUUGAAUGUAUAAGUAUAAUUUGGAAUAUAUUUAAAUUAUAAAUAUAGAUGAUGAUGUUGAUUCACUUAAAGCCUACAAACAUAGUGUCAACGGGUUUCAAUUGAGACUCGGCUCAACCAUUCAUAUGCCACUUUGAAUAUGACUCGACUCAAUCUGACUUCCCGUCAUUUCGAACUUGUUACAGACCAACCCGGCCUCCCGGCCCAUCCUGGUCUCUCACAACAUGGCAGGAUAUUGGUCCAUUUAAGCAUACAAUAAUAAUAAUAUAUAUAGAUAUAGAUAUAAAUUUUAAUUGUAAUAUAUAUAAUAUGAUAGUUAUUUAUAUAAAUAAUACAUAACAUAUAAUACAAAGAAAUUAUAUAAAAUUAUUUUCAUUCAAAAUUUUCCUUUCAACCAAAUAACUGUGGCUGAAAUUUUUUUUCUUCCUAUAAACCAAACGUUAAAAAAUGUAAAAAAAUUUCACGAAAUACUCUUUACCACUGAGGAUUAUUUUUCAUACUUUUACGUUAAAUCAAACCAACUCUUAGCUUAAUUUUAUUUUGCUAUCAUGUUUUUUCAAAAAAGUUGUACCUAAAUACUCUAAUUAUUUAGCUCAUUUUUACUUUGUUAUCCUCCGGUUAAAAAAAUAUUGCACGUACUAUUCUAUGAUUGUUAAAAAAUUUUAAUUUAUUAUUCUAUUGGAUACUAGAUUUUUUUUGAUAAAAUAAAGAUAAAAUUACAGAAUAAUUAAGCGUAAUUUUUUGAACCAUAGAGUGGUAAAAUAACAACGAGCUUAACCAUCAGGAGGUAAAUUGAAGUUUACACUAAAAAAAUUAAUAAUUGGAAUAUGUAGACUUUAAAAUAUUAUAUGUAUUCUAGUAAACUUGAAAAUUUGCAAAUUUAUCAUUUGGAGCAGUAAUAAGGAGUCGGCGAUUUAAUCACGAUCACUUUAUAUACUUGUUUUGGUUCUGAGAUGGUCUUCCUUAUAGCAGUGGUACUAUUUUACUGUAUCUUAAGCUAAUCAAGUUCCUCGUUUUGAGAAAAAAGUAUAAUAAUUUUUUUCUAAAAAUAUUUAUGAUUGGAUUGGUAAAUUCCAGGCAAAUUUGAUUAGUUGGAAACCACAAAAUAAUGUGGUACUGCUGCUUCAUUUUAGAAAUUUUCUUCUGAUUUCUUCUAUCUUGUUUAGAUAACAUAGAAGAUUAAAAGGCGUGUGGAUAGGACCAUUUUUUUAAAAAAGAAAGUUUAUAAAUGACAGUUUUUGACUAGUUCAAAAAUAUAUUUGAAUGUUUUUAAAAUUUACAAGUAUAUAUACAAAAGUUUAAAAGAAUAUAUAUGCAAAAUCCUAACUUUGUUAGUAUAUACUUUUAAGUAAAUAGUUAGCUCCUAAAGAGUUAUAUAGUUGAGGGAGUUACUUCAGAAUAAAUUGUAAGUUAAAUUACAAAAAAUCUUCCUGUCAAAACUUGCUCUUUCAUUUUCUUCUUGUCAUUUAAAAAUCUAUAAUUUGCCUCCUUAAAAAAUAAAAAAUAUUCACAGGAGGGUGCACUAUGAUAAAAUAACCACCCCUCAUCCUUUUCAUCUCCUCCCCAAUCCAAAACUUCUCCUCCGUUCUUCGCGCCUCCUUCAAUCCCAGCCCUGACUCCAUUUCCUCCACUUGCUCCCCCACUCCUUUAGCACUCUCACCGUCCCUCCGUUUUGGUGAUUACAGGGAGAAAGAUCGGGGUGGACGUGGAUGGAGAGGUGGGCAAGUGUGAGAGUGAGGCGGCGGAGGAGGCGAGGGCAUGUGUGUGGGCAUAGACAGAGGGGUGGGUAAGGGCGAGGUAGCGAAGAGCGAGGCGGCGACCGAGGACGUCGGUGAGGAAGAAUGAGAAUUUCAGGAGUAUUUUGGGUAUAAAAAAUAGGAUAUAAACGAGAACUCUAACGGAACACUGAUGAUGGGGGCCGAAGUGAAUUUUUUAUUUUUUAAGGGAACAAAGUGCGGAUUUUUAAAAGAUCGGGAGGAAAGUGAAAAAGCAAGUAUUGAGAGGAGGAGAUUGUCUGUAAUUUAGCCUAAAUUAUAGUUUGGAUUCUUGAAUCAAAGAUAUAAGAUGUACAUCCCAUAUAAGGAGUAGGGAUCUCAGCGAAUCAUAUUCGCGGUGGAUUUUUUAAAACCUGAAUCCGAACUCGACAAUCAAAUUCGAACUCCGAACCUGGACCUGAGCCCAAUGGGUUUUGAAAAUCAACAUCCAAAACCGAACCCAAUCGAAAAAUCAAAAUCGGAACCUGAAACAAUCACUUUCUUUCCCACAUUUCAAAACAUAUUAAAAUCUAAAAUUUUCAAAAUAUAAAUUCAAAUUUAAUAUCUAACAUUCAUAUAUAUUAUAUAAUUUAAAAUCUAUUCGGGUUCGGAUCGGGUUUAAGUCGAGCCAGGUACUAACAAUAUCCAUACCCGAACUUGAAUUUGUCGAAUUUUUAUUUUGUAGAUCCGUGUCCGAAACCAUAUCCGUUUAGUAUCGGAUAAAUCUACCCUGUUUAGCUAUGUUAAUGAAAGAGGCAAAGUGCAUAAAGACUCAUAACUUUCUAUUGUUUUAAAACAAACCACUAAACCUUUUAUUUUGAAAAUUAGACUCUCUAAAUUUUUCUAGAUGGUUUUAGAUAGACAGCGUAGGGGAUUCUUUUUUUUUUUUUUUUUUUUUUUUUUUUUUGGGAGGAGAAACACGCCCUAAGGCGAAUUUAUUUAUCAAUCGGUAGGUACAACUUGAGAGAAUUCAUCUACAGAGGACCAAAAAGACAGUUUGUUGCUAGAGAGCCCCCAGUUGGCCAAUCGAUCUGCAACUACAAUAUUUUUAGAAUAUCUUGAAGACCAUCCAUAGCUAAAUUGCUUGGAGCUUUCAAGAAAAUUCUGAAGAACCGUGAUUCUUGUUCGAGCUUCAUCUGUUAGCGAAUCUGAAUGAUAGCUCCUAAGGUGCAAGGCUUUGAUGAUGGGUGCUGAAUCUGAGUAGAUAUGAUAAGUUUCUCCCGGAUACCUUUGCAACAAAAGAUUUGUCGCUCGGAAAAUUGCUCCAAUUUUCGCUGAGCAGGCGUCAUGGACGUCCUUCAGUACAUCAGAUAUGCACAUAAUGAUUCCAUGUUGAUUGGCGAUUAGGCAUCCGACACCACCUGUAGUACCACCUUUCCAACUCCCAUCCCCCCAUACUUGUAAGGAAAAGGUCGCAAGUUCUUGAAUCAGAGUUGGGUCCUGAAUGCUAAUUCCUCAUCAUGUUCUCUUUAGAAUAUAAGGUCGUCCAGCUGCGAGCCCGUGAAAUGAUGGCAGUGAUAUUGAAAUUUUUUCCUUCAAAAAUCAUCUCAUUCCUUCCUUUCCAUAAGCUCCAUAAUAGAUGAACACAGAAAGCCCUAUAAGUCGCCAUGUCUUUAUUAGUUAGGAUAAAGAAAAUCCAAAAGGACAGAGGCCUAUCCGCAUUAUCAAUUACAAGGCCUAUACUGAUGCAAACAGACAUGUCGUGUUUGCUCACAAUUAAAAAAUAAAUGUACCAACGUCUCAGGCUCUUGUAGGCAAGCGGGCAGAGUCCAUUAAAGUUAGGCAGUCUCGAGGCUAGUGCGGCUCCAACUGGUAACGUGUCUGCUACUAGUCUCCAGAAAAAUACUUUAGCUCGGGGCAUCACAUUCUUUAUGCCCCAAAUUUUUCCCCAGAUAGUAUGCUGGUUUUCAUAUGGCUGAUGCAAUUGGCUAUGAUCCAGACCAUCGUUUAAAUGAUUGAUAGCAGAUCGCAGGGUGAAGCGGCCAGAUUCGGAGAAGUUCCAUCGUAGUUGUUCAGAAUUUUGGACCACAGCAUUCGCCAUGAAAUUACGGAUUUGUAACAUAGAGCGCCAAAUAGGUGAAACUACAGGUCUGUUUUGAGCCGACCAGAAGCUGAGAUUGUUAGCCCGAUUGUACUUGUUCACCAGAACCUGUGCCCAUAAUGAUGUUGGCCUAGUGAGGAGCGACCACACCAAUUUGCAUACUAGGGCGCGAUUAAGGGUUGACAGGGAUGGUAUACCAAUCCCCCGAGUUCCCUGUUUGUAGUUAGUUUUGUCCAUGCCUUUGGGUAAUAAUGGUGACCGCCUGGCUUGAAGCCCCACCAGAAAUCUCGAAUAAUUUUUUCCAUCUGGUGAAGAAAUUUUGCAGGAAGUAGAAUGAAACAAAUAGAGUAUCGAGGUACCGCUAGGAGCACCGAUUGUAUAAGAGUGAGACGCCCCGCAUGCGAUAGAUUUCUAGCUUUUCAUCUAGCUAAUCUGCUUUGCAAUUUAUCAAUGAUGAAACUGAAGGUGUUGGUUAGGGACCGUUCCAAAAAUAGCGGAUUGCCUAAGUAUCUUCCUUGUCCUUGGUGCGCUGCGAUGUUGAGAAUUUGUUGGAUACUCUCACGUAUUGCAGAUGUAGUGCUGUGGCUGAAUAUUAUCGACGAUUUUUGGAGAUUUAUAGUCUCCCCAGAUAUGGUACAGAAAAUAUUGAGGAUUUCUUGAAUUCGGAGGGCCUCAUUCUGGGAGGAUUUUCCGAAGAUAAAGAGGUCGUCAGCAUACAUAACGUGUGUUAUAGCCGGUCCCGUUCGUAAAAACCUGAAGCCAUUUAGUGAGCCGCAAAGGGCAGCUUCCUCCAAGAACAGUGAAAGUGCAUUAGAAGCUAAGAUAAAAAUAUACGGAGAGAGGGCAGUUUACUAUUUUUUUUUUUUACUUAAUUAGUUUAAUUUUAUAGCUCUUUAUUCUUAUAUUUUUAAAAAAUAUAAGUAUUUAUGCUAACAGCGUAAAUCUUGAGACAAAAAAAAAACUUAAUUUAAUAGCCGAAUUUUUUAUCCCGAAUUUUUAAUUGAUGAACGUAUAAUAUCCGUAUAAAUCACGUAUCCGAAUAAUCGGCGAAUCCGUUUUUUAGCCCUUUUUUUCAACGAAUUUAAAAAUUAGAAGGCGAAUUUUAUCUGAAUUAUAUCCCUACCGAAUUUUUGCCGAAUCCGAAUUAACUAACUAUGUUACAUAUUUCUCAAGUUUUAAGGGGUAUUUUAGACAUUGUCUCAAAUCUUCAAUUCGGUAUUUUAGACAUUGUCUCAAAUUCGGCUGGUCAAAAAGGGAGGGAAAGGAGAGCGGGAAAAGAAAAAGGCCCCAACAAAAAAAAAAAAAAAAAGAAAAAAAAUAGAGCUUUUCGAGGAGCCAAGAGCUCGACGAAGACGACGACGACGCUGCGGCGGCGCCGCCUCUCUCCGCCGCCGCGAUGCCGCAGCCGAAGAUCAGCGCCUUCUUCAAGCCCGCCGCCGAUCUCGCCAUUAACGACCUCAGCAUCCGAUCCCAUAAGGUACCUCCUUUUCCGUUUCUUUUCCUACUCUUAAUCUGUAUGUUUUCACUAGAUUUUAUAGUUUAGGUGUUAUUCAACACAUGGAAUCUUAGUUUAAGUGCCUCCGAUCGAAACCCCCCCUCGAUGUCGUAGUUUUCUUAGAUUGAAUCGAUCAAAAUGAUGGAGAAAUGGGCAUGUUUUGCUCAAAAACUGGGUUUAAAAAAAAAUUAUGAUGGGUACUGCAGCUGCUACCGCGACGGGGAGAAGGGGAAUGAUAAGGGAUCGGAAAUUGCCGCAAAGGUUAUUAAUAAGAAGCGGAGCUACGCGCAGUACCAUUUGGAAUUGGGGCAAUCCGAUUUCGUCCUGCACAGUUGCGCCGUUUGCGGGAUGAUGUACGCGCGCGGGGAUCAAGAGGACGAGAAGACUCACAAAGCAUUUCAUAAGAACUACUGUGAGGGAAUCCCGUUCAAGGUGUUUGUUGAAAUGCCAAUGCGUCAAUUUUGUGCAAUUCGUGUUUACUUUUUCGGCUUAAUUAUAAAAACUCCCCAUGCACUUAAAAAAAUUUAAACAGUCUCAACCCUGCACUUUAGCUUGUGUCAAAUAGGUCCAAUAAUUUUGGGAUUCUGUUAACUUUUGAUGGAAGUGUUAGCGGUGAUGACGUGGCAAAAUUGUUUGCCAUUGAAAAUGCUUAAUUCUCGCAUGUGAAUGCUUUUUCGUGGUUCCUCUUGGGCUUUGAUUUUUGAAGGUGUGCUUGAAGGAGCUUAAAUGGGCUUAAAAAUGUGCUAUCUCAUCAUGUCGCCGUUUAAAUUAACGCAAAAGCCUAAUAGAAGGGCCUAUUUUAUACAGAACUAAAGUGCAGGGUUGGCAUUGUUUAAAUUUUUAUGCAGGGAGAUGUUUGAGACAUGGGGGUGAAAUGCUAGGUUUUUUUUCUUUUUAAUAAUUAAGCCUUUUUUUUUUUCUGUAAAAUGCAUGUAUAGUCAUUGUACUUUCCCAAUGUUGUUACCUGUUCGCCAAAUUUUUCCAGGUGUUCCAUCCCUUGUUGCUAAUCAGACCCGACGGAUGUUAAUUAUUUUCUCAGCACAUGCCGGUUUUCUGCAAAAUGACCAUUUUACUGCCUCUGUAAAAGGAUUUCUUGUUUCAUUUGAUUUUCGAAAUUGACUUGAUGGAUGUCAGGAAUUUUAAUGGCCAGGAUGUGAUUGCGGCAUGUUGCGAUGUACAAAGCUUAAAAUGUUUUAAUGAAAGUUCAAGAAAACUAUGUCCCAAUACCACAAAAGUACAAGAACUAUCCAUACAUCUGUUUCCCUUUUCGUUCGUGCUGUGAUACUUACUUGAAGUUGCAGGGUUGGCGCAAUGAGAGGGCGGUCGUGACUAGCAGUAAUGGAGACCGCAUAUUAUUGGUGAUAGAUGAGGAUUCUUCUGCUCAAAAGAACAAGGUUUAUCUCGAUGUCACACAUUCUAGUCCUUGAACUUUAAUGAAGUGCGCCUUUCCAGUAAUUGCGAAUAAAAAAUUGGAGGCAUAUUUCAGGAAUGAAACCGCAAUUUGUCAAAAGUUCAUGAACUACAGUCCCUGGAGAAACUCCCAUAGUUUUCUUUGUCAAGUUGCUUUCAUAGUUAAAUAAGUGAAAACUAGGUUCAUGCUUAAAUAGAAGCAACUCUUUCGAAUUCUAGCUGAACAAAAUCAAACGGAUAGGUUGAAUGGCCACGUUAAUAGAGAGCUUUCAAAUAUUAUAGGUCCAACAAGUUCUAAGAACAGUGGAAAAGGAGCUUGGGUUUAGCGAAGGCCAGCUUCUACAUAAGCUAUGCAAGGUAAAAGAAAAAACAUUAGAAAUUUAUAAACUUUUAAAUCAAGCCACACUCCUGUUCCUUUAAUUAAGUUUCUUUCUUUUGCAGGUUUAUCUGUUCAUUUCAGGUCAUAGGGUUGUUGGCUGCCUCGUCGCUGAACCAAUAAAAACUGCCCAUAAAGUUAUUUCAAGCUCUUCUUCAUGCAAAAGUUCAAAUGACUUAUCGGAAAAGCCAAGUACAGCCAAUUCAACAGAUACUAACACGGAUUCGAGGAGGCGAAACCUAACAAUUCAAUUUGGUCAGUUUAGUUUCAAGAGAGAAAUCAUCAGAAAAGGUAAUCCUUUGGAUAAGACUGUCAAGAUUGAUCAGUGGGAUUGUGGAGCUAUUUUUUGUGAAGAGGAAGCUGUGCCGGCUCUGUGCGGCUUCAGGGCAAUUUGGGUUGCACCAUCCAGUAGGAGGAAUGGAAUUGCCUCUCAACUAAUGGAUGCAGCAAGGUAGUUAUAUUUGCAUAUGUACCCCUACAAAGUUGUCUAUUCACCUCUAUAUUUCUGCAAAACCUGAAUUUUUGAUAUAUGCUGUCCGAUAACUUGCUUUAUUGCAUGUUUACCAUUCUACAUGGCUAUUCCAAAGAAUCCUUUUCUAUUACACAACCUACUUGCUCAUGAAAACCUAAACCCUAAACCCUAAAUCCUAAAACCCUAAACCAGUUGGACUAAAGCCUGAUCAAGCAUCGACGCUCGUGCUUCUGUCAGCUUCAUAAAGCCUGUAGAGGAUCUUAACAAUUAAGAUUUUUACAGUGGAAUAUGUUAAGAUGAACGAUUUGCAUGGACAUAUGUGAUGGUGUCAAACUCUGUCGUAUGAGAUCUAACUAGUAAUUUUUUACAUAAAUUUCCCCGAGAAGGUUGAUCAUUUCAUGGCUUUUCCACACAUCAUAGUGGCUUUCUUCUUGAUAAAUCUAGGAUGGCCCAUAAUUUUCCUUUUCUUUCUUUUGGUGAAAGAUGAAUCCAAAGUGAAAUUUCUCAUCUAUUUUAAUCCAUUGAAAUAGUAUUAGAUCAGGAAAUGGUUGUGGUGUGCUUAUAAAUAUAAAUCGAGAAUACCGUGUCCUCUAUGUUCUAUUGUUUCUAUAUUUCUAACUAGUUGUGAAGCUUACGGUAGGCUCUGAUCACUGUAAAUUAGUGUAUCGGCUUAGUUAGAAACUUCUUAUUAUUUUUAUUUUUAUUUUUAUUUUUGAUUUAUGCAGGAAGAGCUUCUGCAAAGGUGAAACAUUAGAAGUUUCCCAAUGUGCUUUCUCAUCACCGACCUCUGCUGGAAAGGCAUUAGCAUGCAGUUAUAGCGAGACCAGCUCAUUCUUGGUUUAUAAAGCUGAAGAUCUCUUGUAAGUUUCAUCAAGAUGUUCCCCAUAUUGAAUUAUAUAUUUCCUUCACUAUUUUGGGGAGAUCGAAUGCAUUUCAUAUCUGAAAGAUCAAUGAAUUUCCUGUGUAGUAAGAAGUAGUUGGAACUGAAAUAACCCCAAGUGAUUCCUUUUUUCUUUUGUGCUACUUAUUUUUGCAGUUUGUACCUGUAAAUGGUUGAGUUUGUUACUUCACCUUGUUUGCUGAUUUGGUUAUUUUAGUAUGGAUAGCAAAAUUAAGAAGAAACCCAGGUUGAACUCACUCAACAUGGCUCGUUGACUGUGGUGAGAGGUUCUGUGUUUUCAUCUUCAUCGUAGUGUUUGUUUGAUGGAACAAAUUUGAAUAGAUCAGUACUCAAACAGUUUGUCAGUAGAAUUAUAAACCUUUACCCGGAUUUUGAUGCAAAGAAUACUUAAAAUAGUGUUUCUCUUAGUUUUGUAGAUUACUAAUUUUGUGAUAUUUAUUGCCUGUGCUCAUCUUUAGUAAAAAUUAGGCUCUAUUCUGAAUCUGAAAACACGUAAUCCAUUUCGUAUCUAGGGCUAUGAUUAUGUAAGCUAUUUAUUUAAAGGAGCACUAAUAGCUUUCUCAUUAAACUGCGCCGACAUUUAUUUCAGCUUUUUGUUAUAGUAAAUAUUCUGGAUUCAUGUUGUUUGCUGAAUUGUCUUAUUGCUGCUGCUUCUCCAAGUAGGAUUGCUCUAGAAUGCACUAGGCGACGACAUAGAAUCUACUUAUGGUUAAUAGUUUAUAGAGCUUCUAAACUUAAAUCGGUUUCGGGCCUCAGCAUGACCUUAUCGUAAAAAAGUUCCUGGGCCACCUGAACACCAACUUUGAAAGUUGAAAGAGCAUAGUAUGCGAAUUUAAUGCUUAUGAAACCCUAAAAUAAAGGUCCAUAGAAGUCUAUCUAUGAAAUUAUUGCUUAAGAAAAUCAACUUGGUGCUGUUGACAACUUACAAGCAUUUAUUGUGUAUUCACUGUUGAAAUAGAAUUCAUUGCUCUUCUUCCUUUUUUUUUUUGUUGACUAAUUACUAUAAAAUCCAACUCAAUAGCCAAGUUCAAGAAUUGAGAGUGGACCAAUCAAAUAAUUAUACACUCAUUAGCUCACAAUCAUCAGUACUGAACAUAUUACACAUGCACAAACCUGCAGCUCAAAUCAUAAGCAGUAAACAUAACACUGCAGAGGACAACUGCACACUGUUCGAAAGAGAAAAAUGAAAGACCCGCGCACGAUGCGCGGCUUCUGAAGCGUAGAAAUAGUAGAAAGGGUUAUGAACUCCUCCCCCUUCAGAAGACGACGGUGGCGGUUGCUGCGACGAACCGUGUGCAGGAGGAGAAGGAGAAGAAGGAGAAGAGCCUGGGAACGGAGGUGAGUUGCAUGGUUGAUGCGGUGGCGGCGGUGGCGGUGGUGGUGGCGGCCCACAUAUCGAAGGACACAGCUCGCACUUGCUGAUACAUAUCAGACUGUCAUCAGCUGCUGCUGCUGCUGCUGCAACCACCGCUGCGACCGCUGCUACGAUCGCUGACGUUGGCAUGCAGAACAUGCCUCUUCUGAAUACUCUUCUCUUCUCCAUGGUGAUGAGAAUGCAAGUGAGUUUCAGAGUUUGUUCUCUCUAAAUAUUGGUCCAAGCUUCUCAUCCAAGCUCUAAAUAGAAAGAAAUCGCGUAAAUUGCACCGCAGUCCCUGAACUUUCAAUGGAGUUUUAUUUUGGCCCUCGAACUAUCGAGUUGGAUGUUGAAGUUUAUAUAUAGAAUUCCACUUGCUCCUUAUGCAUAUCUGCUAUCAGAGGGCAAAUUGAGUUGUUAAAGAGUAUGAAAUAAUCGUUUUUUUUUUUUUUUUUUUUUUUUUGUUAGAGAACGGUGUUUUUAAAACUUUUUGAUAAACUUAAAAUAUAGAUUUGAAUUAAAUCUGAAAAAAAAUUAAAUAAUCCUAAUCCUAGGAGGUUGACGAGGUUCGAACUCAGAAUCUUCUGUUUUGUUCUUAAAAAGCUUAAACUUUUAUUUUAAAAAAAAUUAUUGUUUCAUAUUUUCUAACAUGAACUUUUCAGCUAAAAGUGUGAGAAAGACAAAGGAUUGAUGAAUUUUUGGCAUACGAGCAGAUAGAUGAAUCAAGUGCGAGCAAUAAUUUCUAUCCAAGAUAAGGGCUAAAAUAAAAUAUUGACGAAAGCUAGAGGAUCAAAAUGAAACUUUGAGUUAAAAGAAAUUUAAAGAAGAAUAAUGGGGAGGGAAUAGAUGCUUGAGGGGUGUAAAAGUUUUGGUGCAAAGGGUGGAGCAAAAGAGAUGCUUCUUGAAAGGCAUGAAUACCACCUCAAAAAAAAUAAUAAUAAUAAUAAAAAAGAAAUAGAAAAGUUAAUGAAUAAGAUUCUCUCUUCAUGAUUGGAAGAUGAUUCCCUGCAUUUUUAUUUUAUUUUAAUUUGCAUUUUGUAAAAAUGUAUGGAGACACCUCAACUGUAGAACAUUUUGAAAUAGCGUCAACAAUUUAUUUUUUAUUUUCCGGAUUGACACUCUCUAAAUUUUUUUUUCUUUAAAUAAUUUAUUUUAACCAAAAAUUUGAGAUUUUUAUUAAUUUAAUAGUUGUAAUUAUUUCAUACGAAAACUCGAUCAUUUACUAGUAGUAGAUAUUGACAUUAAGUCACUAAAGGUUUAACUUAAAAUAAUUGAAUGACUGAAAGAAAGAAAUUAGAAGUAAAGAGGUAUUCAAUUUUUUUUUUCAAAAAAAUUAGAGUUAAGGGUUGGUUUUAAAAAAGAUUAGUUUUUAGGUUGAGGGAUCUCUACACAUUUCUCACCUAAUCAAAGAGAUAAAUUCAAUGAUUAAAUGCUACUUGUACACCAGCGCGAGAGCUGCUUGUAGAAGAAAAUAAAAAAAAAGAAAAAAAAAGAAGGGCACAACAGAUAGCCUAGAUAAGUAAGUUUCGCUAAAUAAUAAACACUAUAAUUAAACAGCUUAAAUUAUAAAUAUUUUAAAUAUAGUGAAAAAAAAAACAAAAUUUAUUUAUUUAUGCUUAAUUUUUAUCUUUCUAAGUGAGAAAAAGAGGAUGGUGCAUAAUUUUUAUAUAAUAUGACACCCUGCAUAUACUAAAUCUUGUGAGGUAAAAAAAUAAUAAUAAUAAAACCAAUUGGGUUGGGCACGUGCCCCCCACGGGCACCCCUGUUUUAAGUGAUCAGUUAAACGACUUUUAUAUUAUAUGAAAGAAUAUAAGAUAUACACUUACUUACUUUGUAGUAUAUGAUAGCGUUGCGUAGUUUAAUUUGCCUUUUUGCUUUUUAUGAUGUGGCAUAUUUUUGGUUCGUUGUUCACAAUUAUAUUUAAUGGUUGUUAGUUUUAUUUUUAUUUUAUUUGCGAGUGGCCGUUUUUAAACAGAAUAAUAAAUUGAUAUAUUUGAAAAACUAUAUGGUGGUUGUAGUGUCAAGAACUUAGUAUGCUGGGUUCGAUUCAGUGGAGGUAUCUGGUUUGACACAUCUGUAGAAUGUAGGACUAAGUUGGAGCCGUUUUACGUGAAAUGGAUGUGAAAACGGAAUGCAGGAUUGCGGAAAUUUGUUGGAAUUGAAAUUUCUACAAGUUUCGGGUGCCCAGAAAGUGUUUAGGGCGCCAAUGUUUUGUGUAGGCUUGAAGGAUUUUGAAUCCUAGUUUGAGUCCCAAGUUUUAUGUAGCAACCUGAAAGUGAGUUAUAUGGCCAUUCGUAGAAUUGACAAGGGUUGACAAGUGCACUGUGACUCAUCACAGAUUCGAAUGCCAGAGUACAACCGCCUCAAAACAUUUGAGCAGAUUUACGAUGGGGUUGAAAGUGGAUUCGGACACUUGGUAAGAUCAAUUCGGGCACCGCGAAGUUCUGUUUUAUAGCAAUAGGUAAUUUUCUAUUUUUCUAAGGGCUCUUUUGUAAUGUUAUUUCUCUAUAAAUAGAUAGGGAAUAUGUUCAGAUCUUUUUUCCGUUUUCUAGCCAUAAAGACUCUUUUAUUUACUCUUCUUUUCUCUUCUCUUUCUUUUCCUUCUUCCUGCUUGUGAGGAGCAGCCGAAGCAACACGCACAGUAACUCGAGAAUCACAGUGGUACAAUGCUCGAGUGUGUGAAAUUGAGCUUUGCUCGUGAGUGAAGGAGUGGAGAGACCUGUGUGUUUGUUUCUACCAAACUGGAUUGUAAAGUAUUUGUUGGUUUGGAGUUUGUAGGAUUUUUGGAAUCUGUUGAAAUCGGAACGGCGAAAAAUAGAUCAGAAAAUAAUUUAAUGGCCAAGAAAGAAAGAUAAGAAAGAACACAUGAAAUUACCCUGGUUGGCCAACGGCUCAGUCACGGGCGUCAGACGGAACAAAUAAUUAUUAAUGGUCGAAAAUUGGAGUACAAAGAAGAUCUCUCAAAAAUCCGAACUCUAAUCUGAUUUAAAACGCGCGUAAUAACCAACUCCGGAAAAAACAACUUCUCUCUCAAUCCGUACGGACAACAAAUUUGGGGCCUUAUUAGCACUAGGCUCUUCAACCGUACGGACCAAUGUGCAUAAUUAGUCGCCGGCUCCUCGGGAUGCUCAAUUAAUUAGAGCUCAACUCUUCUUGGCUCGUGAUGAUGCAGCCACGAAAACAUUGAAGCUCGGUUCCUCCGCAAAACCGUACCCUCAAGAGACUUAAUUAAUUAGUGCAUGGCUCUUAUUUUGUUGCGGCAAGAUUAAUUCGACCUAGCAUGUAUUUAUAAUACAUGUUCCUAAUAGAGUCUAAUCCUAAUUUCAAUUAGAAAUAGAUUCGACUCUAAUCCAUAGUAUACAAAUAAAUCUAAAUUAUAUCAAUCCCAAUUAGAUUAGGAUUUAACUCCAAUUUAGAUAACUACAAUCUAACCAAUAUAACAGGAAUCGAAUCAAAUUUUCGUUUAGUUUUGAGGUCAAUUUAUAAACAGUCUGUUUUGCUGAAUUUUUGUUGAUCUUUGGAGUUUCCGGCUAAAUUCUAGAGCAAUGAGGGAGGCUUGUUGGAGCUAGAUUUGUCUUCUUUGUUGGAUUGAUUUGAGGUGGGUUUAAUUUACCAAAAAUAAUGAAUUCCUCACACGUCUAUAUAAAUUUCAGAUGUGUAGUAUCUAUUAAAUCAGCAGUAGGAAUGAUUUUUGUAGCCAUAUGUGAUGUGUCCACAUUGGCGGUUUUAAUUUACACCGAUCCACUUAAGAUGUGGAUUGAAUUUAUCCUAAUAAUUUAGGAUAAGAUAAUAUCCUUAGUUUCUUAUUAGUUAAGAAACGUAUUUACUAAUGGAUAUUAUUAUAUGUUAAUUGAUUAUCCUGAUCCUUAUCUAAUUAUAUGAGAAUUCAGGAUAUUUAGGGAUGAUCUGUUAUUUCUAUUAAAUACGUCCCCUUGUUUUCUCCAUGAAGGACGAUCGCAUACAAUCAAAUUCGUAAGAACCACGAAAUAUCUUCUUAUUCUCUCUCUUCUUCCUCUCUGGGAUUUCCACCUACGUUACCGGGUGCUUUUAAGUGUGGAUAUGAAGAGGACUCUGGUAGCCCUCUUCGAUUGGCAUCGUCGCAUCAGAUCUGCGUGCUAAGGCGUACGCGAAGGAGAAGCGAGAAACGUGGAGAAUCGAAGAUCGAGACAAGACGAUUCAAGAAGGCUUGUAAACAGUAAUCCGAUCGAUUCGGACUCCCGGAUACGUUGGCUAUUCCGGUUUUGUAGUUUUUCCGCUGUCCUAUUAUUUCUACAAUUGGGUAUCAGAGUCUUGCAUGCUUGUUUUCGCCUUUGAUCAUACUUGUGAUGCGGUGUGUUUUAGAUCGAAUGUUUCGGUGAUCAUUUUUGUCGUAGAUUAGUUCUACGCAUUUUUUCUUUUUGUUUUCUAUUUGUGAAAUCAGAUAAAAAAAAAGAACAAGAAAAAUUUAACUAAAUUAGUUUUAGUUUUUCUCUUAAAUUGAUCAUGCGAAAUUUUUUACAUAUGUUGUAUUUUUUUUGUUUGUUUUUUUUGUAAUUAAAAAUAAAUAAAUAUAUUGCUGCCGGUGGUUGAGGCUAAGGGGCUCGACGCGACCCGCUACGGGCGAGGGGCGCACCCGCGAGAACCGCGCAGGCUCGGCCUGCCGCGGACGCGGGCCCGCACCUCCCGAGCGAACCGCGCAGGCUCGGCCUGCCGCGGGAGCGGGCCAGCACUCGCCCACCCGCGCGGGCCCAGCCUGCUGCGGGCGUGGGCGCGCGCCCGCGUGCACCGCGCGGGGCCGGCCCGCUACGAGAGCGGGGGACGCCCGUGGGCACCGAGCGGGCCCGGACCGCUGCGGGAGCGGGGCUCACCCGCGCGCUCCGCGCGGGCCCGGCCCGCUGCGGGACCGGGGCGCACCCGCGCGCUGGACCGGCCCGCUGCGGUCGCGGGCGCGCGGCCGAGCGCACAGCGCGCGCGCACGCCCAUGCACAGCGCACGGGCCGGCCGACUACCCGUGCGCACAUGGUCUAGCGCAAAAGGAGGCCGGCCCGUUGCGAGUUGGCAGGCCCUGCCAGGCCUUCUGCUCGCAGGGAACCUACUCUGCUGAUUCUGGUGGGCUAGAGAGGUCGGCCCGGCCCCACGCACUGUUCAGAAUUAUUGAAUAUAUAUAUUUUUUUUCUGUGUUGAUUAAUCCUAUGUGGGUGUAUUCUUUCUAAUGCUUAUGUAGCAUGUGAUUGUAUUUUUUUUGGCAUAUAAGUACUUAUGUUAUUUCGGUGAUUUUUUUUAACAAAUUUAAUUUUGGAAAAAUGGGUUCGACGUCUGCAACAUUCCUGUAGAAUAUUAUUUUUUCUGAUGUACAUCUUGUAGUGAUGUAGUAGGUUUCAAUUAUGCAAAAGUGAUGUAAUAAUUAAGGCCAUGUAAAGGAAUGUGUUUUGCGCAGCAUUGACGUUUUUCAAAUUAAAUUUUGGCAUAAGUACUUAUUUUUAUCUGUGUGAUGAUAUUAUGAGAUUAGUUCUCCUCAUAUAAUAUUUUUUUCAAGAAAAGAUAUGUUCUUCAAAAUGGAUAAGUUCCAACUUUUGGAUAAGUUUCAAAAUUAAUAGAAAAUUAAUAAGAUUGUGAUAUUUUGAACCGACACUGGGUGAUGAUUACGAGCAUAGCGAAGUUUUCGAUCCCGUUGUGUCGAGGAUAAUAUUCCAAUCUUGUUAAUUUUUUCGGAAUAUGUGCCUAAUGUCCAAACCUAUUUUUUUGAAUGUAGUGAAAUGACUUCCAAGAACAUCAUAGCUGAUCUCACCAGGGGUGAUAAGCUAGAUGGAAAGAAUUAUGAUAUUUGGCAUAGGAAAAUGCAAUGCCUGCUCAAUGAACAAGGGGUUCUAGAAACUCUUUCUGUCAAAAGAGUUCUGCUUGCUGAAGGCACUGCUUCUAAGCAUGAUAAAGAGAUCUAUAACAAAUGGGUCAAGGAGGAUCGAACUGCUCGGUAUACUUUGUUGUGUGCCAUGCAAGAUGACCUCAUUGGACAAUUUGAGAUCUUUGAAACUGCCAAGGACAUGUGGGACAAUCUGAAGAUUACUUUUGGUCAAACUUCAUCUACGAGGCUACGUGCCUUAAAUCUCAAGUUUCUACAGUAUAUUAAAGACCCGAAGCAUUCAAUGGCUGAGCACCUUCGUGUGAUGAGCGCCAUGAUUCGGGACCUUAAGACUGCUGGAAACGAGCUUACUGAUGAGCAACAAGUUCUAGCAGUGAUUCGUUCACUGCCUGAUACUGAAUGGUCCCAGAUGAAGCUCCUGAUGACGCACAGUGAGAAUAUUAAAACGUUUAAUGACAUCUCGCACCAUCUCGAGCUCGAGGCAGUGCGCUUAGAAGUGAACCGUUCUGUCGCUCUUGUUGCACGCUCCGAGAAGCGCAGUGGGAUUGCACCCAAGCGCAAAAAACAUCACAACAAUGGAGCGCAGAAGAAAUGGAAUCAAGCUCCUCAGGGUAGAGUUGGAAAGCACCGCAGAGGCAAGCGCGCUGGCAAUAAGGAUGCUACAAAGCUAAAAUGCUACAAUUGCAAGAAGAAGGGUCAUUUCGCUCGGAAUUGUCCUGAGGCGAAAAUUUAACCAUACCACUCAACUCACACUGUUUUGUUUGCUCUCAUGCUUUAGUAGCUCAUUCUCUUCCUAUUUGGAUUGUGGACACAGGAGCAAACAAACACGUAGUUCAUGAUCGAGUGGGGUUCGUAGAUUAUCAUCGAGUACCGUCUGGCACACAGUUUGUCACCCUUGGGAAUGGCACGAAGGAAGAAGUUCUAGGAGUCGGUUCGUACCAACUCAAGUUGCGUAGUGGCCACACUUUACUUCUUCAGGACGUGCUAUAUGCACCCGAAAUUCGAUGUAAUCUAUGUUCAGUUUUAGCUUUGUUGCAUCUAGGAUAUUUAUUUCAUUUUGACAAUGACCGCCUUGAUAUUUUCUUUCAUGGUACUUUAUUUGGAUAUGGUACAUUAGUUGAUAGUUUCUUUAAAUUAGAUUUGGAGGAUGAUUCGUUUGCAUUUGCUUCUUCUUCUUCUUUAUCUAUUCUCUGUGAUGAAUCCGUUAAAUGGCAUGCCAGAUUGGGCCAUAUAGGUCAAGAAAGAAUGAAUAGACUGGCUCGAGAAGGCCUUUUGGGGUCUUUCGCCAAAGUUGACCUAUCUGCGUGCGAGCCUUGUCUAGCUGGGAAGGCAUGUAGAAAGCCUUUUGGUAAGGCUACUCGUGCCUCUCAUCCAUUAGAGCUAAUCCACUCAGACAUUUGUGGGCCAAUGAAUGUGAGGGCCCGGCAUGGUGCUUGCUAUUUUCUCACAUUCAUUGAUGAUUAUUUCCGUUAUGGAUAUGUGUAUUUGCUUUCUCGCCGAUCUGAAGCUUUAGAUUGCUUCAAGUGCUUCGUUGCGGAGGCUGAGAAUCAAAUAGAAAGAAGUGUAAAGGUGCUUCGCACUGACCGAGGUUGUGAGUACUUGUCUGAUCAGUUCAAGACUUACUGUGAGCAAAAGGGUAUUAAUAGACAGCUCACUAUUCCUGGUACUCCGCAACAAAAUGGUGUUGCAGAGCGAAGGAACCGUACUAUAUUAGAUAUGGUUAGGUCGAUGAUGGCGCAAGCGCAACUUCCUAUAAAUUUUUGGGGAGAUGCUCUUUUGACUGCAGCCUACAUCCUUAAUCGAGUUCCUAGCAAAUCAGUGCCAUCUACCCCAUAUGAGUUGUGGAGUGGUAGAAAACCAAGUUUACACUACUUACGCCCUUGGGGUUCAGCUGGAUAUGUUCACAGCCUCUCACAUAGAUUCGGAAAACUCGGCCCUAGAGCGAGCAAGCAUGUAUUCAUCAGAUACCCUGAAAAUUCGAAGGGCUAUGUGAUGUAUGAUGAACACCCAGAUGGUGGUAUGACCGAGAUUGAGUCUCGUGAUGUGGAAUUCCUAGAAGGGAAUUUUCUAAGCAUUAGUGAAAUGCGAAGAGACGUCGGAUUGUAUGAGUUAUAGGACGACACUACCCCAUUUGCGGUUGAGGGUGAUCGAUCACUUCCCGAAGUCGAUGAAGGAAGUGGUAGCGAUCCUCCGGCUAGUGGGAGUGCUUCUUUGAGUGAGAGCAUACCCUUGGAAGUCGGCAGAUUAGACCCUCCAUUACGCAGAAGUGAACGUGGACAUAUUCCUCGUCGACAUUUUGAGAUCGAAGGGGAUAUUUUCAUGUGCACUCCGCUCGAUGAUGAUGAACCUGCUUCUUAUAAAGAAGUAUUACAGACAUCAGCUUGCAGUGAGUGGAUGGCUGCUUGAAAGAUGAGAUGGACUCCACGAGCAAGAACCAAGUAUGGGAAUUGGUUGACCUUUCGCCUGGGCGCAAGUCUAUUGGAAAUAAAUGGGUUUUAAAAAUUAAGCGCAAGGCGGAUGGAUCAAUCGAUAAAUACAAGGCUCGGCUCGUGGCUAAGGGCUACACUCAGAGGCAAGGGGUGGAUUACAACGAGACGUUUGCUCCCGUUGUGCGAUUUGCCUCUAUUCGUUUGAUUCUAGCCUUAGUGGCACACCUAGAUUUGGAAUUGUUCCAAAUGGAUGUCAAGACAGCUUUUCUCAAUGGAGAAUUGGCGGAGGAGAUCUAUAUGGAUCAACAUGAGGGUUUUGUACUCAAAGGUCAAGAAGACAAAGUUUGUCGUCUUAAAAGAUCCAUUUACGGUCUCAAGCAGUCGUCGAGACAGUGGUAUUUCAGGUUUCAUGAAGCCAUCACCUCUAUCGGUAUGUCCAUGAUAGAGGAGGACCACUGUGUAUAUGUCAAGACGACAGAGAAUGGGAUUUUAUUUUUCUUUCUUUUCCUUCCCUGUUGGUGAGGAGCAGCUGAGCAACACCAGCAACAGCUGAAGCUCGAGAAUCACAGUGUAAUAGUGCAUCGAGUGGUGAAGUUGAGCUUUGCUCGUGAGUGAGGAGUGGAAGAGACCUUGUGUUUUGUUUAUACCCAACUGGAUUGUAAAGUAAUUUGGUUGAGUUUGGAGUUUAGUAGGAUUUUUGGAAUCGAAUCAAAUUUUCGUUAGAUUUUGAGUCCAAUUUAUACAACAGUGGUUUUGCUGGAUUUUUGUUGAUCUUUGGAGUUCCCGGCUGAUUCUAGUGCAAUGAGGGAGACUUGUUGGAGCUAGAUUUGUCCUUCUUUGUUGGAUUGCAUUUGAGGUGGGUUUAAUUUACCAAAAACAAUGAAUUCCUCACCAUCUCUAUUAUAAAUUUCAGCAUGUGUAGUAUCUAUUAAAUCAGCAGCUGGGAAUGAUUUUAAUUUGUAUGGAAUUACUAUUAGCAUGUUGUUAUUACUUCUAUUGAUUGUUAACCUAAAUGGUACAUGUUGUUACCUAGUUAAGCUGUUAUGGAUCCCUUCCCUAUUAGCAUAGUAGUGUUACUUAAUAAAUCUGACCACGAGAUGCACACUCAAUUAUCUUUUACAUAUAUAUUUGAGUGAGUGUGGAUGACAGCUUGUAUGCUUAUGGAGAGUUAUUUUGCAGUUGGGUGAUACAGCAGUUCCAAAUCAUUAGGUUACAUUCCGGAUAAUGUCGAGGGUACGUGGAUAGUAGUUUUAUGAUCUGAUUGUUCAUUUACAUUGACUACAGCCUGCACGAGCUAUAUUUGAGCUCGACAGAGAUACGUAAUGAAAUGCAGUUCCAGAGUCUGGCUAUAACGUUGAUUUGUUGCAGCAGUCCUGGUAGCGACCUACAUAUUAAUGGGCCACCUACGAAAGUAGUGUCAUGGCAAUAGAUAAGCACGUUUGACCGGCCCCUCGAGUCAGUCAGUGAGAUUGGAUUAUGACUGUAAGCACCCAAUAGUUAGUUGAUGCAUACAUAUAUAUUCAACUUUUUUAUCUUGAGCAUUUGUAGUUUAGAGGCAUAAUAGUUGUAGACUUUCAUUCCAGCUUAUACAUAUAUCAUGUUGUACAGUUGAUUAUUUUUUCCUUUUAUGCUUCUAUUAGACUUAGUGGGUAGGUCGUUGUCAUCGGUGACAUAUCCACUGGGGACUAAUUUUGCAGUAGUUUUUACGCCCUCUGUUGUUGCAUUUUCUUUUCAAAGCCCUCCGUGCCGAUUGCUGCAUCUGAUCGAGAUAAGGGGAUCGCGAGUUAGAUAGUGCCUCCUUCCUAUGUUGACCAUGCUAGAGGAGGACUCAAUAGAGGCUAGUUUUUGGGGGAGUAUAUUUUUACAUACUGGAACUAGUGAUGCUAGCUAUAUUACUAUUUUAUCUGUUGUUCUGGGAGAUACAGCUAUACUUAGAGCUGUGAUUUAUGUACAUUAUAGCUUUGUUUUUGUUAGUUACUUUGAUUCCAGCUUUGAUAUAUGCUGGUUGUAACUUAUAGGACUGCUUUUACAGGUUCUUGACUUUUCAUGUAUACGGAGCUUCCCGUAUAUGCGGUGGAUUUGUUGGUGCGCCCGGAUCCCUAUUCUCUCUUCUCUCUCAACAACCUUUGGCUGGUGACCAUCUAAAUAAGAAGAAUUAGAAUUUCAAGUACAUUUCAAAAAGAUAAGUUUUAAAUAUCAAGACCAAUUUACAUAAAAAGUCCAUCAAUUUUAUGGUUUUGCAAAAAUAUACUUUUUUUUUAAAUUUUGCUGAUUAGGUCUAGAUUUUUAGUAAACUGAUCAAAUAUCCUUAUUCAUUUUCUCUCUCCUUUUUCUUUUGUUUGUUUUCUCCUUCCUCCUCCUAGUCGUUCGUUUCUCUUUUUUUUUUUCUUUCGCUUUAUCUUCUUUCUCCUCCUCCUUCACCGCCACUAGGGAUGCAAUAUAGGUCGUGCCAGGUCACCACCUGAAACAAAUCAGGCUAAUAGCCGGCUCGACUCAGCUUCAAGUCCGGGGCAAGCCGGAUCUACCAAGCCUCUGGACCGAAAGGCAUGGGUAGUGUUGGGGCUGGCACGACCCAGGCCUAUUUCAAGCUCGACUGGGUUGCAUUGUCAGACCUAAGGGGAGAGGCCCAGCAUGACCUGGAAAGCUGGGAUGGCACAGGUGCUAUAGCACCCAUUUCGAGUUGCAGCCCGACCGAAGGUCUUGCUGGGCCAAGUGGCCAACGGGCCGCCUGACCCAUUUUACAUUCCUAAUCGCCCAAUGUCGAUGCUGCAUUUCUCUUUCCUACCUCCGUCGACGCUAGCGGUGACGACACAUGCUCGGAUAUGGUACAUAUCAUGAAGGUGAGGCUACGACGGAGGAUAUGGUCAUGGACGACAAAGGCAAUGAGGGUGCCAUAGGAUUUGAGAAGAGCAGUGAGGGAAAGUGCAUCAAGUGUGGUAGCUACUAUAGUGGAGGGCAAGGGAGGGGACGCGAUAGCAAAAAUAAGAUGCAAAGGGUGAAGAAAAAGAAGACAGUAGAAUAUAUAUAUAUAUAUAUAUAUAUAUAUAUAUAUAUAUAUAUAGAGUCCGGUUACUAUACUAUUAUGAGUACGAUCGCCCUCGUACUCAUAAGUCGUUUUCGAUGAUAGAGCUUCCGAAUCGACGAUCCAUACUGUUAAUGUAAGGGAAGUGAAUUCUCGAAAUCCGAGGAUUAGACUUCGUUGGGAAUCGACUAAUUGUCGAGUGUGUAAGCUUCGGAAAGUCCGAAGGUGGUAAUAAUGCGUAAAGUGCAUUGAGGUAAUGUCCGCGAGAGCACUAGUGCAAAAGCUGCACUGGAGCAGAAAUGCUCUCGGGGACCGGUCCCUGGCAGGGAGGGACCGGUCCCAUCGGGCUGGGCUGCGGGGGUCUCUGAUGAGAUCGGUCCCUGGUGGUCCCUGGUAGGCAGGGAUCGGUUCCCAAACAUUAGCCGAGCGAGAAUUAGCCGAAAUUUGGCUAAGUCCUGGGAACCCAGCUCUCGGGAACCGGUCUCUCAGACAAGGACCGGUCUCCCGAGGGCCGGUCUCUCAAGCAGGGACCGGUUCCCGAACGCGAAAUCCCCUCUGCCCGAAGGUGCAGCUCUCGGGGACCGGUCUCCCCGAGCUGGGACCGGUCCCUCACUGCGAAAAUGGCCCAGGGAGGGCUGUUUCAGGAAAUGAAAAGUUGAGGGGGCUAUCUGCAAAAUAACCUAUAUGAAGGCUUGGGGACCUCUCUCUCCCUCUCAUUUGCUCUCUCUCCCUUUCACACUCUUUCCCCCUCUCUCUCUAGGAGAGAAAAGAAGGAGAAGAAGAAGGAAAAGGAGAGGAAGGAGAAGAAGUAGGAGAAGAAGAAGACAAAGGUGGAGAUCACCUUCCUCAUCUACUUCUUUUUCUUCUUGGACUAAGCUUUUGAAGGUAAGCUUUUAACCCUACCAUGGUGGAUUUCUUGGAUUAGGGUUUUGUGGUUUAGAAAUGGUUCAAAUGGAACCUAUUGAAGCUAGGGAGAAGGUUCGAGCUCGAAAUUGAAGCUCGCACCGCAGAUUUCUCCAUUAUUGAGACCUAGGGCUCCGAUUUGGGAUUUUGGCAAGUUUAGGGUUUUGAUCUAAUUUGAGAGGUUGUAAACCUAAUUGCUAGGUCCCUGAACGCGUCGGCAAAGACGGUUCGUCGAUCCGUCGAGUAGGUGCAGAGUUAUUGUCGAAGGCGACCAUCGGAGCUUCGUUCUUGCCUGGAAGGCCAUCGAGGCGUCGAAACGUCGGUGAAUCACAUUCGAAGAGUCACGGCAUCGCCACGAGGUCGGGGAGUGCCAUCCCGAAGUAGUCGGGCUGCUCUUUAUGUCUGAGUAUCAUUAUCGAUCAUUUACAUAUUGCGAUACAGUAUUAUAGGGUUCUAAAUGUGAUUGUGCAUAUCCUUGCAUGCUAGUGAUGAUUUAGGUUGUGGAUACAAAGAUGAAAACCUAGUAUGCAUGAGUGGAAUAUUAUGAGAUAGUUCGCCCUAUAUGUGAUGAAUAUGUUUAUGUGAAUAAGAACCUAGUGUAUUGGAAACUNAUCCAUACCGUUAAUGUAAGGGAAGUGAAUUCUCGAAAUCCGAGGAUUAGACUUCGUUGGGAAUCGACUAAUUGUCAAGUGUGUAAGCUUCGGAAAGUCCGAAGGUGGUAAUAAUGUGUAAAGUGCAUUGAGGUAAUGUCCGCGAGAGCACCAGUGCAAAAGCUGCACUCGAGCAGAAAUGCUCUCGGGGACCAGUCCCUGGCAGGGAGGGACCGGUCCCAUCGGGCUGGGCUGUGGGGGUCUCUGAUGAGACCGGUCCCUGGCAGGCAGGGACCGGUUCCCAAACAUUAGCCCAACGAGAAUUAGCCGAAAUUUGGCUAAGUCCUGGGAACCCAGCUCUCGGGAACCGGUCUCUCAGACAAGAACCGGUCUCCCGAGGACCGGUCUCUCAAGUAGGGACCGGUUCUCGAACGCGAAAUCCCCUCUGUCCGAAGGUGCAACUCUCGGGGACCGGUCUCCCCGAGCUGGGACCGGUCCCUCACUGCGAAAAUGGCCCAGGAAGGGCUGUUUCAGGAAAUGAAAAGUUGAGGGGGCUAUCUGCAAAAUGACCUAUAUGAAGGCUUAGGGACCUCUCUCUCCCUCUCAUUUGCUCUCUCUCCCUUUCACACUCUUUCCCUCUCUCUCUCUAGGAGAGAAAAGAAGGAGAAGAAGAAGGAAAAAGAGAGGAAGGAGAAGAAGUAGGAGAAGAAGAAGACAAAGGUGGAGAUCAUCUUCCUCAUCUACUACUUUUUCUUCUUGGACUAAGCUUUUGAAGGUAAGCUUUUAACCCUACCAUGGUGGAUUUCUUGGAUUAGGGUUUUGUGGUUUAGAAGUGGUUCAAAUAGAACUUAUUGAAGCUAGGGAGAAGGUUCGAGCUCGAAAUUGAAGCUCGCACAGCAGAUUUCUCCAUUAUUGAGACCUAGGGCUCCGAUUUGGGAUUUUGGCAAGUUUAGGGUUUUGAUCUAAUGUGAGAGGUUGUAAACCUAAUUGCUAGGUCCCUGAACGCGUCGGCGAAGACGGUUCGUCGAUCCGUCGAGUAGGUGCAGAGUUAUUGUCGAAGGCGACCUCGGAGCUUCGUUCUUGCCUGGAAGGCCAACGAGGCGUCGAAACGUCGGCGAAUCGCAUUCGAAGAGUCGCGACAUCGCCACGAGGUGGGGGAAUGCCAUCCCGAAGCAGUCGAGCUGCUCUUUAUGUCUGAGUAUCAUUAUCGAUCAUCUACAUAUUGCGAUAUAGUAUUAUAGGGUGCUAAAUGUGAUUGUGCAUAUCUUUGCAUGCCAGUGAUGAUUUAGGUUGUGGAUACGAUGAAUGAAAACCUAGUAUGCAUGAGUGGAAUACUAUGAGAUAGUUCGCCCUAUAUGUGAUGAAUAUGUCUAUGUGAAUAAGAACCUAGUAUAUUGGAAACUAGUGUAUCAAGAACUUGUCAAGAGAACGAGUGGCAUCUAGUUAACAGUGAACCCAGAACGAGUGGCACCUAGUUGAUAGUGAACUUGAGAACUUUAGUGUGGUUGAGACACUUUGAGAUUGAGUAGAAGAACACCUGAUGUUAUAGUGACACCAAUUCUAGUUGGUUAGGGUGUUCCCAGUUCAUGAGAUUGGAUCGAGCUCACUUAGCCUGUCUGCACCUGUGGAGGUAGCUCCUCACAGGUAGUGCACUCCGAAGUUUGGCACGCGAGGGGGCCAGUGUAGUGCCUUUGGACCAGUGUAGUGUCCGCAGGCGGUCUCGAGGUAGGUGAAUAGCUAGCCACCUCCCUAGGAGACUUACAGACGUGAGACAGUGAGCGAGCCCCGCGAGUUCGCUGAGAGAUUGGGUGACCUGAUGAGUUGCAUUGUUGUUUUGUAUGAUAGCUUGGCACUUAGCCUUAGCCUUAUUGAUGAACCUAGUAGCAUGGUAGCUAACCUUUACUAUGAGUUACAUCAACAUUGAGUAUAGUCGCUUGGUAGUCAGAAUAGUGGAUUUGCCUACAUACAGUGAGUGGACAUACUAUUCUUUCACCUAUGAGAUUUGAGUGAGAUAGCCCUGUACCUAGUCGAGAUUGAGUCGAACCAUCGAGAUGUGAGUCGGGCAAAGAGCGGGGUAGCUCUUUGCCUAGGACCUUCGAGAUGUGAGUCGGACCUACGAGUUAUGAGUCGGGCAAGGAGCGGGGUAGCUCUUUGUCUAGGACCCUUGAGAUAUGAGUUAGGCGGGAAAAGAGCGGGGUAGCUCUUUACCUACUGGAUUUGAGACCUUAGGCAAGAUUGGCCUAGUCGAUUGGGUUGUAACAGGAUUAGCAUAAGUGGAUUGCAUUCAUACCAUGAUUAGACAUAGUAAACUGCAUAACUAUGUUGUAGUUGUAUUCAUUACACUGUUGAAACAUACUAGCAUGAUAGUAGGAUAUUGCUAGAUGAUGUGACAUGCAUUCCUUGCAUUUGAUGGCAUAGUAGAUAUAGUAGCANCUUGCGUUCGCCGAGAGAUUGGGUAAUCGGAUGAAUGAUUUCGUUAUUGAGCAUGGUAGUAUGAUAGCCAGCCUUCUUACUAUGAGUUCCAUGCAUGCAUCAUACUGGAUUGAGGCAUUGAUAGAUCAUAGUUCAUAGUUGCUCAUUACUGUUAAUGCUUUCAAUUUUAUUUAUCUAUCUAUCUGCAUAUCUAUCUGUGCCUGCUUAGGCCUAGUGGGUAGAUCGGCGGAGUCGGAGGCCGAACCCACUGGGAACUAUUCAUAGUUCUCACUCCACCAUGUUACAGGUCCGAGUUCGAGCGCCCCUGGUGAGGAUCGCGGCAAGGGCGUAGCGCCCUAGUGAUACUAGUAGAGGUUUACUUUCCUUAUGCUUUAGCUAUACCCUGUACCUAUUUUGAGAGUAGAUGGAUGUAUAGGGUGAGGUUUUGAGAGGAUUAUAUAUAUACGUUGUACAGGUUUGGAAGAAUGCAAGUUGUAAUAAUUGUAUAAAGUUUAAUGAAUUAAUAGUUAAGUACAUCUCUCUCUCUUAUCACUUAUAUGUUUUACAUGUGUUGCUUGCUCUUGAUUGUUAAGCACUGUUUGUGCUCUCGUGGUUGUUGUAUGAUUGUGUAUGUAUUCAAGUUGUUUCCUGGGAACUUGUUGUACACAAUCUAGCCAUUCGAGCCUUGGGCGGACAGAGGAGGUGCUGUCCGUUCGGCGGUCCGUUCGCCGCGCCCGAACGGUGCCAAAUGGGUUGCGGUCACGGGGCGGGGGCGUGACAGUUGUGGUAUCAGAACGAGAGUGAGAGCAAGCAAAAGAGAGAGUCUAGAACUGACCUAGAAGACUCUAGGAUGGUGAACCUUAAGGAUUAUAGGUGCGUGAGUGCGACAUGAACCUGUGACGCGGCGGAAGUUGAUCGAUUGGGUCGAAGUCGGUGUUGUUGCUCUAGUAGUUUCUAGAGAUGAAUUGAGUGGUACUAGUCCUUGGCUUCAGGCGACUGUGUUGGCGGCCGACAACACAAUGCCGGGAGUCAAGAACGGGUACACUUGUGAGCUUCCGUCUGAUUUGUGUAAUUAAGUUGUAUCGUUUCGUAACUGCGAAGACGUCGUUGGGUUAAGAAUUAACCGAUUGUUUGUGUUUCAGGAGCUAAUGGCACCGAAGAGACGCUACGUGCGUAGGACUACUCCGGCACCACCCCCAGGGGUGCCCGAGUCAGCUGUGCCCCUGGCGGCGCCCGAGCCAGCUGGGCCUAGUGAGGUGCAAGAAUUGUGGGCACAAGUUGCUGCGUUAGCAGGGCGGUUCGAUCGGCUCCAGGAGCUCAUGGAGCGUCAGGCAGCGGCUGCGGCAGUUGGCCAAGGCCACGUUCCGCCUGCACCUUCGGUUCGCGCCCCCCAAUGCGGCCGAGGGUGUGGGCGAUGCGCCGGUUCCGGUGGCGGCGCAACCCCCACCGGUGGAUAUUCCUCCUGCGGCGUCUAGAUCUCCUACGCCCAGAGCAGCGGCUGAGGAGGCGGAGCGAGAGCGGGGCUACACGGCUCUCACAAGGUUUACGAAGUUCCACCCGCCUACGUUCGACGGAGAGGUGAUAGACCCUUGGACAGUGGAGACAUGGUUGGCCUCGAUGGAGACCCUAUUCGAGGAUAUCUAUACAGAGGAGCGGGACAAGGUCAAUUUGGCCGCUCAUUGCUUUGAUAAGCGGGCCAGGGUGUGGUGGAAGAGAGUAAAGCAGGAUCGAUCUCCGGAUCUUCUCCCAAUCGAUUAGGAGGAGUUCCAAAGAUUGAUGUUCGCGGAGUACUUUUCCGAUAGCGAUAAGAGAAAGAUGCGGGAAGACUUCAGGAAGCUUAAACAAGGCAAUCGCACGGUUCGGGAGUAUGAGCGGGAGUUCACAUAUCUUUUGAACUGCGUCCCGGACGUGGCGACGAAGGAGCAAGAUCGAGCAGAUUGCUUCGUGAGAGGACUCCGACCCGGCAUGUUUCGUAUGGUGCAUGCCUUCAAGUUUCAUACUUUCGAGGAGGCUUAGGACCGCGCCUUGUGGGUCGAGCACGGAAAUGCCUGCGAACGUGAGGACCGUGAGGCGUUCGAGAAGGAUAAAGAAAGGAAGCGACCGUGCGGUAGUUCGAGGGGACAAUCGAGUUCCAGAAGGCCCCCGAAGUAUCCACGAUCGCAAUCGAAGGGCCGCAGAGCGUAGCGGUGUAUCUUUUGCGGCGGUGACCACCGACCCAGUUUGUGUGAUCAGCGCCGAGGAAAGUGUUUUAGAUGCGGGCAAGCAGGGCACAUCGCACGUGACUGCCCUCAAGGUGGGGAUUUACCUGUUCCAUCUGUUGCAUCGGCCCCGGCUAUUCCGGCUCAUUAUGCAAUGCCACCCGCUGCGGCGUCGACUAGACGUGCGGCAGCACCACGUCAACCUGAACCUGCACGAUCGGCUCCAAGUGGAAGGAUGUAUGCCGCUCAAGUACAAGAGGAGGAGCCCACCGAAGCCGAGGAGCGCAAUGUAGUGGCAGGUAUGGUGUUGGUUCAUGGUGUUUGAGCAAGAGCUCUUUUUGAUACUGGCGCCUCUCACUCGUUCAUAAACCGGUCGUUUGCACAAGUGCAUGGUAUUGAGAUUAGUCUCGGGGAGAAUGUGUGGCGUGUAGAAGGACCCGGACGAGCCUUCCUUGUUAGAAAGCGGUGUUUGGCGUGCCCAGUACAAGUAGGUGACUGGAUUAUGCCGGUCGACCUGUUAGUGCUAAAGAGGUUGAAGGAGUUCGAUGUCAUUUUGGGCAUGGACUGACUCUCGAAGUAUUAUGUGUCUAUCGACUGCAAGACUAGAGUGAUCACAUUUCGGGAGCCGGGACACGAGGAAUUCAUGUAUCGAGCUUGCAAGAGUUCGUGUUUCGCCGCGACGGUGUUGGCGACAAGAGCGAGGAAGCUGGUUAAUAGCGGUUGUACGGCUUACUUGGCAACCGUUAUGGAAGUCGACUGAGUGGUGCCGACUUUGGAGGAGUUGGAGGUUGUGCGAGAGUUUCCGGACGUGUUUCCGGCAGAGUUACCGGGGAUGCCGCCGGACCGAAAAAUUGAGUUCAUGAUAGACUUGCUUCCCGGGACCGCGCCGAUAUCCAAGGCCCCGUAUCGCAUGGCGCCAGCUGAGCUAAGGGAGUUGAGGGAUCAGUUGCAGGAUCUUCUCGACAAAGAGUUCAUUAAGCCGAGCGUGUCACCGUGGGGAGCCCCGGUAUUGUUUGUGCGCAAGAAUGAUGGAUCUUUUCGACUCUGCGUGGAUUACCGCGAGUUGAAUAAGGUCACCGUGAAGAACAAGUACCCGUUACCCCGCAUCAACGACUUGUUUGAUCAAUUACAGGGGUCGCGAGUGUACUCGAAGAUUGACCUUCAAUCCGGCUACCAUCAAUUGAAGAUUAAGCCGGAGGAUGUUUCGAAAACCGCGUUCUGCACGCGGUAUGGACACUACGAGUUCACCGUGAUGCCGUUUGGGCUUACAAAUGCCCCGACUGCGUUCAUGAGCUUGAUGAACCGAGUAUUCAAGGAGUGUCUAGACCGAUUUGUCGUAGUCUUUAUAGACGACAUCUUGGUUUAUUCGCACAAUGAGGAGGAGCAUGCGGAGCAUUUACGUACUGUACUUCAAAUCCUUCGGGAGAAGAAGUUGUACGGCAAACUAAAGAAGUGUGACUUCUGGCUCCGAGAAGUCGCUUUUCUCGGGCAUGUUAUUUCCGAGGGCGGUGUUUCUGUUGACCCGAGAAAAGUAGAGGCUAUUGAGAGUUGGCCGCGCCCGACAAAUGUUGCUGAGGUCCGAAGUUUUGUGGGCCUGGCAGGGUAUUAUCGACGGUUUGUGGAGGGGUUCUCUAAGAUCGUGACUCCACUUACCCGUCUGAUGCAGAAGGGCACCAGGUUCGUUUGGAGCGACGAGUGCGACUGGAGUUUUAAAGAGUUGAAGGAGAGGUUAACUUUGACUCCGGUACUCGCCUUACCGGUGCAGGGUGAGGAUUAUAUGGUGUAUAGCGACGCAUCCUAUCUGGGUCUGGGGUGUGUGCUGAUGCAAGGCGGGAGGGUGAUUGCUUAUGCAUUCCGUCAGUUGAAAAGCUACGAGAAAAACUACCCCAUACAUGACUUAGAGUUGGCGGCGGUGAUCUUUGCUCUGAAGCUUUGGAGACACUAUCUAUAUGGUGCUCAUUGCGAGAUCUACACCAACCAUAAAAGUUUGAAAUACUUGUUCACCCAAAAGGAGCUGAACAUGCGGCAACGGCGGUGGUUAGAAUUGCUUAAGGAUUACGACGUUGAUAUCCUUUACCACCCCGGGAAAGCGAACGUGGUCGCGGAUGCACUUAGUCGGAAGUCGGCGGAGAACCUCGCCUUGUGGGUUACAAGUCAGACUCCCCUGCGGUUACAAAUGGGGAAGUUGGAUCUCGAGGUGGUGGCUCCGAAAAUUUCGGCUAGGUUGAUGACGUUGGUGGUCCAACCCACGUUAUUGGAAAGGAUUAAGAAUCUACAGUCGGCGGACCCGAAUCUCCAGAAGGUGCGGCACAAUGUUGAAAGUGGCCGUGGCGGAGAUUUCAGCAUGGAUGCUAGUGGUGCACUACGGUUUUAAAACCGGUGGUGUGUGCCAAGUGACGAGGAGCUUCGCAAGUUGAUUUUGCAAGAAGCGCAUUGGUCUCCUUAUGUCGACCACCCGGGCGGCACCAAAAUGUUUCACGAGUUGAAGACACUAUACUGGUGGCCGGGAAUGAAGACUGAUAUUGGGCGCUUCGUAGCGAAGUGUUUAGUAUGCCAACAGGUGAAGGCGGAGCGCCGGUUUCCAGCGGGGAAGCUUCAAAGUUUAUCUAUUCCCGUUUGGAAAUGGGAUGACAUAUCGAUGGACUUCAUCGUUGGCUUACCUCGUUCGACGGGUGGCCACGAUGCAAUUUGGGUGAUUGUGGAUCGUUUAACGAAAUCGGCGCACUUUCUGCCGAUCCACAACACUUGGGCAGGUGAAAAGCUCGCGCAGGUAUACCUCGACGAGAUUGUAAGGCUACAUGGGGUGCCGAAGUCGAUUGUAUCAGACCGAGACCCCAAGUUCACUUCACACUUUUAGAGAAGCCUGGAGGAAGCCCUUGGCACGCGACUCGAUUUCAGUACCGCCUUUUAUCCUCAGACUGAUGGGCAGACAAAGAGAACCAUUCAGACCCUGGAGGAUAUGUUGCGGGCGUGUGCCAUUGAUUACAAGGGGAAUUAGUGUAAGCACCUGCCGAUGGCCGAGUUCGCCUGCAACAACAGCUAUCACGCGAGUGUGGGGAUGGCACCGUUCGAGGCUCUUUAUGGGCGGAAGUGCCGAUCUCCCAUUCAUUGGAGUGAUGUGGGCGAGCGAGCGGAGUUCGGUCCUGACGUGUUGCGAGAGGCGGAGGAGAAAGUCCACCUUGCUCGUAAGAGAUUGCUCACGGCGCAGUCUCGGCAGAAGAGUUAUUCAGAUAAGCGCCGUAGGGAUCUAGAGUUCGCGGUGGGUGACCGCGUGUUUUUGAAAGUUUCGCCGAUGAGAGGCGUGAAAAGGUUUGGGGUGCGAGGGAAGUUGAGUCCUCGUUAUGUUGGCCCCUACGAGAUUUUGGAGCGGAUUGGAACGGUGGCUUACCGACUUGCGUUGCCACCCAAGCUUGCGGGUGUGCACAAUGUAUUCCACGUCUCCAAUCAACACAAGUAUGUGCAUGAUCCUGAGCACAUCUUAGUCUAUGAGCUGCCGGAACUGCAAGAAGAUAUGAGUUACGAAGAAUUUUCGGUGGAGAUUUUAGCUCGAGAAGUACGUAAGUUGAGAAGUCGCAAAAUUUCUUAUGUUCAAGUCCGGUGGAGCAAUCAUGACGAUCGCGAAGCCACCUGGGAGCUCGAGGAGGAGAUGAAAGCGAAUCAUCCUCACUUAUUUGAGGAAUGAGCUGAGGUAUGAAUUUAAAGUUCAAAUUAGUAUUGCCGAGUUCGUUUCGAGGACGAAACUCUUUAAGGUGGGGAGAAUGUAAGGGAAGUGAAUUCUCGAAAUCCGAGGAUUAGACUUCGUUGGGAAUCGACUAAUUGUCGAGUGUGUAAGCUUCGGAAAGUCUGAAUGUGGUAAUAAUGCGUAAAGUGCAUUGAGGUAAUGUCCGCGAGAGCACCAGUGCAAAAGCUGCACUGGAGCAGAAAUGCUCUCGGGGACCGGUCCCUGGCAGGGAGGGACCGGUCCCAUCGGGCUGGGCUGCGGGGGUCUCUGAUGAGACCGGUCCCUGGUGGUCCCUGGCAGGCAGGGACCGGUUCCCGAACGUUAGCCUAGCGAGAAUUAGCCGAAAUUUGGCUAAGUCCCGAGAACCCAGCUCUCGGGAACCGGUCUCUCAGACAAGGACCGGUCUCCCGAGGACCGGUCUCUCAAGCAGGGACCGAUUCCAGAACGCGAAAUCCCCUAUGCCCGAAGGUGCAGCUCUCGGGGACCGGUCUCCCCGAGCUGGGACCAGUCCCUCACUGCGAAAAUGGCCCAGGGAGGGCUGUUUCAGGAAAUGAAAAGUUGAGGGGGCUAUCUGCAAAAUAACCUAUAUGAAGGCUUGGGGACCUCUCUCUCCCUCUUAUUUGCUCUCUCUCCCUUUCACACUCUUUUCUUCUCUCUCUCUAGGAGAGAAAAGAAGGAGAAGAAGAAGGAAAAGGAGAGAAAGGAGAAGAAGUAGGAGAAGAAGAAGACAAAGGUGGAGAUCACCUUCCUCAUCUACUUCUUCUUCUUGGACUAAGCUUUUGAAGGUAAGCUUUUAACCCUACCAUGGUGGAUUUUUUGGAUUAGGGUUUUGUGGUUUAGAAGUGGUUCAAAUAGAACCUAUUGAAGCUAGGGAGAAGGUUCGAGCUCGAAAUUGAAGAUCGCAUCGUAGAUUUCUCCAUUAUUGAGACCUAAGGCUCCGAUUUGGGAUUUUGGCAAGUUUAGGGUUUUGAUCUAAUGUGAGAGGUUGUAAACCUAAUUGCUAGGUCCCUGAACGCGUCGGCGAAGACGGUUCGUCNAGCCGCCCCAGACCCCCUCGGGCCGAGGCGAGCUUGCGACACCCUCCCUGCGUCGCUGCCGCGUGGGACCACACCCAAGGCAUCCCUCCGGCCUCGGACAACCCUCCGCUGCCAUCCUGGAGCUCCGCGGCCGCCGCCGUGCCCGUCAUUGCCCGCGGAACCCGACCUGAGCCUAUGCGGGCUUGCCUUGCUCCGCCGUUGCCGCCGCCGCUCUCCGCCGCUGUCUGAGAUGAGAACCUCACUCCUCACCUCCCCCGCACCCAUCCCUGGCCCGCGCGCACCUCGCCGUGUCGCCGGAAGUCGGCCGGAGCAAGCUUGCUCCGGCCAAGCCCGAAAUAGGAUUGUUUAUGGGAUGUUUACUGUUCCGAGCUUCCCGAGCCUCCCCGAUCUCUACGGUAGGGAGCACGAUGAUCCUGGCAAGUUGCUGGUCAUCGUGCUCACCUUGGUUUUUGUCGGGAAGGCCCCGUUCCGCUGUUUUUGCGGUGUCGACCCUGUGGAGCCUUUUUGGUUGUUGUUCUGGGUUUGUGCGUGCGUUUCCGGCGAUCCGAGGCUAUUCCGAUGCCUCCGGAGGUGAGCACGGUGAUCGCUGGUCAGUGCUGAUCACAGUGCUUACCUUACCUUGGAUCAGCAGUGUCCGGUUAGCCCUGUUUGGUGCGUUUUUCCGUGGCUGCGCACUAUUUGCUGAAACUUCGGGUUGCCCCCGCGCUUCCCACAGCGAGCCGUUGUGCUCCGGAUCAUGAGCACGGCCUCCGGUACGUCGAGACCUGUCAGUACGUGUCUCUGCAGACUUUGGAAGUCCUCGGUUUGUGUGAACGAGCCACUUGAUCGCUCAAAUUACAUAAAAUGAUAGGAUUUUAUGUAAUUAGAGGGACUUUUGUGCAAUUGUGCACCCUAGGGCCACUGUGGACAGUGUGUAUGAGUGUGUUUGACCUCUGGACUGAUUGUCCAUGAUCCGUUAGCUUUUGCGAAAAUCGAAGAGUCGAUUUCAGUGCGUUUUUCGGCGAAAUUCGCCCAAAGAACGCGGUUUCGGUUCGGAUUUCCUCCGACGUGGUUUGUUUGUCUUGUGUGUGGUCGCUGAGCCUUGUUGGCUAGUCACCAUCAUCAUUUUGUAGGUUCGGUGAUGAUGGGUGAGCGACGGUGGGUUCCGGUGUCGAAAUAGACAUUUUUCGGAACCCGAAUUCGUACAAUUAUCCGGUGAUAAUUGUGUAGUGUUGUUAUCUUGUGUUUGCUGCCAAAACAUCCAAAUCGGAGUGUUCUGGUGCGGCAGGUAACUCGUGGCACGAGUCGGUGAACUUCGGGACACUUAAUGAGUCCCGACGGCAUCCCGGUGUGAUUUUUGGGACUUUCGGUGAGUUACGGUGGUCGGUUUGGGAAACCGAUUCAUGGAUCUUUUGUGGAGAUUUGUGAGAUUAUGUACUUCAUGUUAGUGGGUUGGAUACUGACCUAGUGGAUCUUCGUAGGUCUGGUCGACUUGUGUGCAUCUAGGUUUUCCGACGCGACAGUGACAGGUGGGUACUUCGAUCCGACGUUGGUACAGUGGUGCACGCUCGGUGAUGGUUUCUUACCCUUACUCUUCUGUUGUUACUAUUGCAUAGUAUAUUUUGAGCCCUGCACCCAUGAUUAUUCCAGUAUACUCUACUCGUUGUUUGCAUGCUUAGUAUUCUUAGUAGGAGUAGAGUAGUUCUAUAUAUAUGCAUAUCUGUUGUUCUGGUUGAUCGUGGUUCGGAGUGGUACGCCCUUGUUUCUGGCUUCGGCCUAGGCACUGGCUUCAGCCAGUUUUUGUAUUCAGCAUACCAGUAUGACUUAGUCACAGUACUUGGGGGUAUUCACGACACUGGGUCAGUUUGGCCACCGACCGGAGGUGUGCUUAUCCGGAUGGGUCGUCCUGUGGGGCGGGUGAAUCAGGUCCGUGCAGAUCAGUGACAGGCAACGCUUGAGGUCUGCGGACCAAUAUAGCAGCAUCAGAUUAGGUAUAGUUUUGGUUUGGUUACAUUGAGGCAUACUUGACUUUGCAUUCCUUACAGUAGCAGUAUUGUUUAUUACUUCUUCUUUAUCUGUUAUAGCUACUGUAGUUCCUUUAUAUCAGCAUCAGUAUUUGUUUACCAUAUUGUUAUAUAUCUCUUCCUGAUCCGGUGAGUACUCCUCGCCUUCAUCGGCUUGCGGUACCCACUGGGAGGGGAGACAUGUUUACAUGUUUUCACCUCCCCCACCAUUUUUUCAGGUAUCGCCGGUGGUGAGAGUUGAGACGAGACGUGAGACACGUUCGUAGUGGUCGCUAGAGCUUCCGACCCAGUUUGUUGGUUUAGUUCCUACCCUAUUUACUUUGGUUAUUAAUAGUUUUGAUAUUACAUGGUUCAGUUAGAGGAUCAUACUUGAUGUUUGAAUGCUCGUGGAUUGGCUUCUAUGGAUUUGUGGAUUUGGUUUAUGGAUUUUCAGUUUUGGAUGUCUGUGUACUUUGUGGCUCUCAGAUCUGUAUUUAUAGAUUUACGAAUCGUGGUUUUCUACCCCUCGAGGUAGUCGAUUUUCAAAAUAGAGUUUCCGAGUGGGAAACAGUUUUAAAAGAGAUUCUCGAAUGUCUUUUAUGAAUGAAAUAGAUUUCUAAAACAAAGCUUCCGGGUGGAGAGCACUUUUAAAUAGGAUGAUUGUUGCACUGUGCAUUAUAUCAUCCAGCGCCUAAGGAGUGCUUAGAGGCAUGCAUCAUCUCUAAGGAUCGUUAGCUGUAUGGAAAUGCAUAUCAUGAUUUGGUUGCUGAUUGGUAAAUGUAGGUUGUGAUUGAGAUCCUGUUGUAUAGCUGGUACGCCGUACAAAUACAAAGGAGACUCUGUCCGAGUGGACAGAGGAACUUGGUAUUUGUGGCGGGUCUGUACGUCACGUGGGCCAGGUUGAGAAAAAAAAAGAGAAAGAAAUGGCACGUUUUUCGCAACUCUGAAUUUCAAAAUGGAAUGAAUUUUAAAAAGGCUUUUAAAAUCGGCCCCGGGGCGUGACAUGGAUCUUUUAAUGGUGUAGAUUAUGUUGGUUUGGAUUUAAAUUUUAAAAUUUUUAAAAAUCAAUUAGAAUUGGACUUUAUAUAUACACGGAAGGCUACCACGCACAGAUGCCGCUAUAGGGAAGGGCAAGAAGUAGAGAAUAAAGAAGAAGAAUAAGAAAAGUUGCACUGUUUGAGACCAAAUUGCAUUGUUUGAGGUUACGUUGUAUCAUAAAACUAUUUGAGAAUAAGCUAAAUCACAAAAUAUAGAAGUUGCACUGUUUGAUACUAAAUUGCAUUGUUUAAGAGUUAAUUUGCAUGGUUUGAGAAGUUGCAAUUUAGUCUCAAAUAGUUUUAAACUAGUGAAGGCCCGCGCUUCGCUACGGGAAAUUUACGCAUUUUUUAAAAUAUUUUCAACAAAUUAAUAUAUUUCUAUAUUUAUGUUGCUAUCAUUUAUUUUUAAAAAUUUUAAAUUUAAAUUUUUUAAUUUUCAAAUCUAAUCUUAAAUUUUAAACUUUAACAAAUUAAAGAGCUAAAAAAAAUUAAAAAAAUUAUUUAAAUAGAGAGUAAUAAAAAAUAAUUUGAAAAUUGAAGAGAGCAGAGAGAGGGAAAAAACAAAAAGAGCAUUGUCCGCGCCGCGCCCGCGCCCCGCCCGCCGCUCACAGGCGUGUCCGGCCACACCGCGGGCCCGCCACGCUGCGCUGUAUUUUUUUAUUCCAUAAAUUAAAGAAAACAAUUAAAGAAGAGAACAAAAAAUACAAAAAAUUUAGAAAAAAGGUUAAUUUUACAUUAAAAAAAAAUAAAUAGUAAUUUGCUCUUCCAAGGGUAUAUAUAUAUAGAUAAUUUUAUUUAUAUAUAUAUAUAUAUAUAGCGACCGGGCGUCGUGCCCGUGCCCCGCGCCGGAGCCCGCGCCUCCGCCUCCCGCUGCCGAACGCUCGCGCCGCCCACUCGCACUGGGGAGAGGGGGAGAGAGGUGCCCGUGUCCCGCGCCGUCGCCCCUCCGCUCGUGCCUGCCCGUGCCGUCGCCCACCCUCGCCCACGCCGCGCCCGCGGCCCGUGCCGGACCACCCACACUGGGUGUAUCUGCGUUCGAGCGCCCGCGCCGGCUCACGGCCCCGCCCUCUCGCGACCGUCGCCCGCGUCCAAGGCUGCUCGCCUCGCUCCGCUUCGGCCCGCGCACCCGCCUGCGCCAGCCGCGUGCCCACGCCGGUCCCAGAGGCCUGCGCCUCGGCCCCUCGGCUCGCGCCCACCCGCUCGGCCUCUCGUUCGCGCCAGCGCCCGCCCUCGCUCAAGCCCCGCGCCCGCGCCCCCGAGGAGAGGGGUGAGAGGGGAUCUAGAGAGUGGGGAAGUGAGAGAGACCGAGUAGAGAGGGAAAGAGGAGGGGUGGGUGUGGAGAGAGAGAAAGUGUAGGAGAGGGAGGAAGAGAGAGAGAGAGGGGGGAGAGAGAGAGGGUGUGAAGAGAGAGAGAUAGAGAGAGGGGGAGAGAUGGUGUGAAGAGAGAGGGGAAAAGAGAGAGAGUGUGAGAGAGAGAGAGAGAGAGAGAGAGAGAGAGAUAGGGCCAGCUGGCAGUGGAGGGAAAGGGAGAGAGGCUCGGUGGGAGAAGAGGGAGGGAGAGAAAGGCUCGGAUGAAUGAAACAAAUGUAGAAGCGCCACGUAGGAUCGGACAGAGUCCCAAAUGGUAGAUUGUACAGAUGAUACAGCUUAAAUCUAAUCAAUGCAACUUAGUUUUAAAAUUGUGCAACUUCUAUUUUAUGUGGUACCACUUAAUCCCAAAUAGUUUUAAAUGAAACAACUUAGUCUUAAACAGCAACUUAGUCUCAAAUAGUAUAAUUUUUUUUUUUUCUUCUUUACUUCUUGGCUUUUUCUGUAGCUACUAUGACAUAUGUUGGCCUUCAGACGAGAAGAAAAAUUUUUUUUUCUUCCUUUUCUUCCAUCCUCUGCAUCUUUUUCUGCUACAACACCCCUUCUCUCGCCCUCUGUCGCAGUUGGCGCCCCCACCCUAACACGCUCUCUCUUCCCAUCCUCCUCAAAUCCACGGCACCCUCGUCGUCAUCGCCAUCCACGGCCACGCACUUUGUUGCAGCCUAACCUCCCGGAUUUGUGCCAUAUCCUAGGCUGUGCCGUUGUUGCCGGCGUCUGCAGUGGUGUGGGCAAGGUAGGAGAGAGAAGCGAGACACCGACACGGGGGCAGUGGAGGAGAAUGAAGGAUAGGAAGCAAAAGAAGAAAGAGAGAAAGAACUAGCUAGGAGGAGAAAGCAGAAGAGAUGAGAAAAAUGAACGAGAGAGAAAGAGAAAUAAAGGUAUUCCUGUUAAUUUACUAAAAAUCCAGGCCUAAUUUGCAAAAUUUAAAAAAAUGGUCUAUUUUUGCAAAGACACAAAAUCGUGAAUUUUUAAUGCGGAUUGGCCAAAUAUCAAACAUCGUAAAUUUUUUUUUGUUGAGUAAAUAAAGAAUACUUCUAAAAGUAAACCGAAUUGUUUACAAUGUUAUUUCUAGAGUCGGGGCAUCCAAAUCAACCAUCAACAGUGCUUAACACGAUCUAAGUUAUUUGAACUUCACAAGAUACCGAAUUUUACAACUUCACCGCAUCAUUAACUGGAGAUCAAAUAGUCUAAAAAAUUUACCUAAUACUAGCCAUUAGAAAUUAUUAAUUUUAGAAUUGCAUAAAUAUUAGGCAAAUAAUGUCAACAAAUUAAGAGAUUUGGAUUUUAGAAAAUUCAAAUAGCUUAUAUCAUAUUAAAUGGCGCCGAUCAUUUACAUUAGAUGUUCUGUUGCUGGGACUGACAUGGAAGUAAAUGAUAUCAUUUUCUUCUCAAAAUAUUUUAGCAUUGCACUACUUCUAACAUUAGAAAAUAAUUAAUAGAAGAAAUAUACUAGACCAAAGAGUGAUAUUUAGAAGAAAUAUACUAGACCAAAGAGUGAUAUUUAGAAGUAAAUGAUAUCAUUUUCUUCUCAAAAUAUUUUAGCAUUGCACUACUUCAGAUGGAAGCUUGAGAUACUUGUCGUCUCGAGUUUCGCGGACGAAACUCCUUUUUAGGAGGGGUGAAUGUAACACACUGGACCUUUGCAAAUUGCAAGGUUCGAGUGUUUGGAUGUAUUUCGAGUUUUUCCACACUUAGUGGGGGGUUGUAGAAUGUUCUCCGACCUAAAAAGUUCGAAAAUCGGAAUUCUGGAUAAGUCCUGAGAGUUUUUACUCUCGGGGACCGGUCCCUGGAAGGAGAGACCGGUCCCCCAGUGAGCAGUGUUGAGGCAGCCUGAGGCAACCGGUCCCCGAGCGCGUCUUCGCAUUGAGAGACCGGUCCUGCGCGGGGAGAGACCGGUUCCCGAACGCUGGUUUUUCGGGUUCGCAGCGAGAGACCGGUCCCUGCUGGGGAGAGACCGGUCCCUCUGGGCGAAAACUGCCCAGACCGGGCUGAUGCAAUAUUGGAUUUUUGAGAGCCUGGUUGGAUUUUUUAAUUAGAGGUCUAAUAUGACGACCCGUCCACCCUCUCUUCUCCUCAUUUCCUUCUCUCAACUUCUCCACACCCUUGGAUAGAGAAGAAAGAAGAAGGAAAAGAGAAGAAUGAGGGAAGGAGAAGACGCUUGGAGCUACUGUGGACUGGGGGCAUCGUUCUCACCUUCUCAAUCCUCCUUGGUGCUUGAAGGCGUCUGGACUUGACAGCUUGCAAAAGGAGAUCGUUCACUUAGACUUAUUGGAGCCUUCUAAGCGAGUUUGUUGCUCAUUCGCCUCCUCAGAACCUAGUUUGAAAGGAUUUUGAAUAGACUGGAACUCUAGUUUUGAGAUUUAGGGUUUAUUUUGGGCUUUUUGAACUAGGGCUUUGGCUUGAUUGGCUUGUUAGAACCUUCUCUACGGCUUGGAUUGGAAGGGUUCUAGUCUCCUUUUGAGAUUGUGAAGAGAUUUUUCUUCCUUUUGAGGUGAGUUUUAGGCCAUGUUUUGCUUCUAGGUUAAUGUUUGAUAUUAUAAUAUGUCGUAAAUGCCCUCCGUAUCUCUUCGCUAUAUCACUUUUAGGGUAUUUUUGAGACCGGUACAAACUUUGUUCGCUAAUCGAGGCACAUACGCGACGUCGUUUCGGUGGUUAUGACCUAGCCACCAGGCAUGGAAAAUUCUCAUUUUGUGCUUGAUUAAGAUCGUUUAAAUGAAAAAGCUAUGCAUAUCUGUUACAAUGUUUUAUGUGAAUUUAGAAAUGACUUAAAAUAUGCCCAUGGCUAUAUGUAAUGGAAAUUUUUAGACUCUAUUAGUGAGAGUGCUUGAGAGAGAGUUGGUUGAUUCGAUUCUAUACGAGAUUUGUUUCAUGUUUCUAUAGUGAAAUGAGUUCGAAUUCAUGCAUUUAAACUUAAGUCUUAUCGACAUGAAAGAUGAUAAACGUUGCCAUAAAUAGAGGAAUUGAGCUAGAGUAUGUGAUACUAAGCGAGUUAAUGCCAUCAAGCGACAUGAGCUCGGACAUCGUGUUGAAGCUAGUGGAUAGGGUCAUGAUGGACUUGGAUGCACGUUGGUACAUUCAAAUUGCGCUAAGUGUCAUCAAGGGGCACUUAGGCGUAGCAAAAGCUGAAAUAUCACAUUUGGACUUAAACUAGAGAAUCUCGGGAUGCUAAGUGACUAUACCAAUGUUAUGAGACAUGCAGGAUCGGAUAUUUUGAGACUUGGCUAUGCUGCUUGUGCCAUUUGUGCUCAUUCGCACAUGCUUUUGAGGCGUCGGCUCCCUACGAAGCCGGCACUCCGGAGUUAGCCUACGCGACUUAUGUUCGUCGUGACGUGGCGUAUUAGAAAGCCUAAACGGGUCGAAGUGGAAGACACAUUCCCUAAGAUAAGCGAUGUCGGGCUACCACAGGCAACUUAGGCGGCACGAAGCUGACUACCUUGGUUAGGUCUGCUAAGAAUGGAAAUCGACAAGGUGUUGAAUAUAAACAAUCACCUACUAGAUAGGUUAGUGUAGUUUGGAUUACGUUUGAACACGCUCAUGAUAUAUGCAUCGGACAUUUAGUAUACUUGCCGGUUUCAUUAUUGGCAUCGUAGUAUAUCAUCAGUUGUUUGGUAGAGUUUACCGUUAUUACAUUGGAAGAUUGCACUCGCGAAGUUACUACUUGGUUUAUUAUUCUUGAGAAAUAUUAGUAUGCAUGACAUAUUACCUAUAUAGAGUAGCCGUAGAUGUACAUUUUGGUUGACAUCAUGCUUACUUGAGACACAGUAGACUAGCAUUUCAAUUAUGCUUUCUUUCAGCAGUUUAUUUACAUGCUCCUUAUUGCUUAUUAUUAUUAUCGUUGCUUACCCUUGUUUUUGGGGCCUAGUGGAGCAGGAGCUGAGGUCAGUAAUUGCCCACUGGGAACUAUAAAUUAUAGUUCUCACGCCCUCUUUUUCUCGAUGUUUUUCAGAGCCUUCCACGCAGGGAGAGGCCAGGGAUCGCGGAAAGGGUAUCGCCUCGGGCUAGCGUGCUUACCGAGGGAUCGAUAGGUGGUGUACCUCUCGUGUUUUCUUUUUGUGAGAGGUUAAGAGUUGUACCCGUAUAUGUAUAGAGACCACCAUUUUGUACUUGAGGCAGUUUUUGUACUACUUAUUGUUCCUUUUAUUGUCUAGCUUUAUUUCUAUACUUUAGUGUAGAUGAUAGAACUUUACUCGCUCUGAUAUCAUUAGUUGCUUGUUAUUUCACUUCUUUUAUUUGUUCUAUCUCUUGCUUUACUUCCGCUUUUGAUUGUAGACGCCUUAUAUGUGUUGACAUAUGGCGGGUCUGGGCGCGCUACCGGGAGGGCCUCCGCCGGUCCCGGGGCGUGACAGUGACAACAAGAAUUACAAAACGAUGUGAUUAUCAAAUUUGACCAAAUCAAAUUGAAGAAAAUUCAAGUUCCAUAAAUAUCCUAUUAGGUCCAUCUCCUCUGCCCCGAUUAUAAUGUUGUCAAGUUGCUAAACUCUUUCUUUAUUCCGGUAGUGUCCUUCUAUUUUUUUCUAGAUGUCAAAUAAAAUUUUUAUACACUGAAGAUCAUACCAUCUUAGGGCAGUUGGUACAUCUCUUUCUUCGAGAGCUGUGUUUUGAUAUCGAAUGCGCAUAUAUAACCUACGGACGUAUUCGAAAGGAAAGCAUAUUGUAUUUAGAUCUAAAGAAUUAAAACUUCAUUUAAGGACACUUUUUAUUAAAGUUUUCCCAAAUCCGGUCCAUGGUGGGCCAUACUCGGACAAUAUGCCAAUAACUGCUCUUUCAUACGCCCGGUCUACUGGACCGGGUCCACGAAAUCACUUCUCCAGCUCCAGCGAACGAGUCCUUCAAACAAUAGUAAACAAAACCGCUUCUCCUCUUCUUCUUCUUCCUCCUCCUCCUCCUCUCUCUCUCUCUCUCUCUCUCUCUCUCUCUCUCUAGAGAGAGCAAUGGUGGUGCCCUUAACAAUGGCGGAUCUCUCCCAGAGGGCGAUCCUGCUGCGGGACUCGCUCCAGAAGAGCACCGCCAACACGCGGGGAAUGGUCGCCAUCCUCGGCUCCUUCGACCACCGCCUCUCCGCCCUCGAUGCCGCCAUGCGCCCCACCCAAGUAAAAAAAACCAUAAUCGCCCACUCCGAUCUCUUCUUUUUCGUAGAGAUCGCUUGAUCGAUCGAUCGGAGAUGAUGCUUUGCGUAGUGUUUGAUUCGUGCGAAUCUACGAACGAUUGGUGCAGGUGAGGACGCACGCGAUCCGGAUGGCGCACGAGAACAUCGACAAGACGCUCAAGGCCGCGGAGGUGAUCCUCGCGCAGUUCGAUCUCGCGCGCCAGGUUGGGGUUCGCAAAUUCUGCUUUUUAGCUCGUUUUCUAGUUAGAAUGAGCAAUUUGUACUUGGUGUAGAAGUUUUUGAUGUAUAUAGGAAGCACUAUGGUGAUUGAGUAAGAUUAGAUUGAAGAGACUUGGUUUCAAUGUGAAAUGGAGUUGAGACGUACACUCACAUCUGAGGAUUUCGAGCUGGGUGGAAUCACUAUAAAUGAUGGGAGUUUCAAUGUGAUCUAGUUUAACAGGCAUAGGGAAUUUUUGAUAGAUUGGAAAUAUUAAGCUUUCAAUUCCACGUUCAUUGGUGAAUUAUUUAGGAUGAAUUAUUUUGCAAAUUGCUUUCACUUUAAUUUCUAAAGCUUUAAUUCUUCUCAAUUGAUGGCUCAACUUCAUAAAGUGAUUCAUUUAACUCCCCGCAACUUCAGUCAAAGGCAGUGGAAGAGCUCUUGAUAUGUUAAUACAAUCACUUAAGUCAAAGAUUCUGUGGCAUUUUUCAGCAUUUAAUGGGGCUGCCUAUACAUGUGGGAAAGUAUAUAGGCAAUGUUUGUAUGUGGAACAAUAUGAUCAGCAAUAUUGAAGUCUUCCAAUGUGCAAACAUUGGGUUGGUACCUUUCUAUAUAUGCAAGAUGUUGUUAGUAUCAAGAAGCUUGCAAUUUGAAUGCUGAUGGCUUCUUUAUUUUUUCCUGUGCUAUUUUGCAUUAUGGGAUUUAGGCCGAGGCUACGAUACUAAGGGGUCCACAUGAGGAUCUAGAAAGCUAUCUAGCAGCUAUUGACGUAUUGAAGAGCAUUGUCCAUUAUUUUACCUCAAAUAAGAACUUAAAGAGCAGUGAUGGAGUUCUGAACCAUGUCAACAACUUGCUAGCCAAGUCUGUAGUCAAGUUGGAGGAGGAAUUCGGGCAGCUCUUAGCUUCUUACAGGUUCGUUUCUCAAAAUUAUUGCUCUUUAACGAAUCUUCUCUUUCUUCCUCCUCUUACAAUGUGUCCAUUCUAACAUAAGAAUUAUCUUUGGUGGGUUUUAUUUAAUGUAACUGUAAGAUAUAUAUUCGUAGUAUUAUAUCUCUUGUACUUGUGUGACCGUCAAUGGCAAGGAUUUAGGUGUCCAUCGGCACAUGCUGUAUUUAACAUGUCGUAUCGUGCCAAUAAGAUAUCGGCACGAUACAGCACCUGUGCCGAUGACAUAGCUCAAAAACUUAUAUUUUUUAAAUUAGUAAGUAAUUUUCUCAAUAAAGUUCAAAAGAUUUGAUAAAUAUACAUAAUAAACAGUUAGAAUAUUUUGUUGCUAAAGAAAAUAAAUAUUUCAUGCUAUUAUGUAUCGACACACAUGAAUUUUUUAUGCCCGGCACGUACCGUGUAAUACCAUGCCGGCAAGUUUCCAGUACGACCCCAUGCCACGCACUUAAAUCCUUGGUCAGUGGGAUAAAGAUGCUUGAGUCUUGACUUUAGGUAUUAGCGGGAUAUAUCAGUGAUCACUUUUUAUAGAUAUGAAAAUCAUUUUAUGUACUUUUAUCUUUUGAUAUGCAGAGUAGACUAAUAAUGCAGUAGCUUGUUAAGAUCUCAAAGUCGACCUUCAAUACUGCUAUUAUUUUCUGCUGCAAGUGUUAAAUUGCAAAGAUCCCAAAUGUUUGAAACUUCAGCUUACAUGAGAAAAAAGCAUUGAUGUAUGUCCGUGCAUUUAGAUCAGAGAAAUCAUCUUGCCUAACACCAAAUGGUAGAUUACUCGUGGUUCAUGCUCGCAACAUAAAAAACCGUCAGUGAACAUGUUGCACACUAGGUUCUCUUUGCUAAGAAUAACAUCUAUUGCUUUUAAUAAGAUGCAAAUGAUCUGACAAAAAGUGUUGAAGUUGUAAGAAAAUUGCAUGUACACAGCAGAAGAAAAACGGCAAUUAAAAUUUUCUAAACCAAAAUCACCUUGUGUUUCAUUUUUAGAACUUAAACAAUAGAUCAAACUAAUCUAAUUAGAUGAGGUUUAGUUUUUCAUCUUGCACAUGUCGAGAGGACCACGAAGUCGACGAUCGUUGGUAAAAACUAUUUGUCCUCAUUAGCCUUGGACGUGCCCGACGUCUAGUCGCGUCCACACGAGAUCACAUCUUCAAUCGAACUAAUCAACGCCUUCUAUCCGCGAUCCGAUCACGAACUGAUGCUUUUGUCGUUUUGAGGGAGGUGAAUCAGUUUUUGGAUAUACUAGCAACCUGAAGAUCGAUGCUGGUGGAUUAAUGGUGAAGGACUUGAGGAAGAGGGACAAGAUUGACGGCUAUGAUUUUCUAUUUCUCUUGUAUUAAAUUAUUAUUUUUUUAACAUGUCAGACAUGUAUUUAUGAUGAGAAAACCCCUAGCCUAUUCCUAAUUCUAAUCGGAAUUCUAAUCCGAUUAGAUUAUCUAUUAAUCCCUCAAGCUGGUUUUAAUUUAAACCAAAUUCGGAUCCAGAUCCUAAUCCGAUUCGCAUGUAACAUUUAUAUAUAAGUCCUCAUAUUAUUUACUAACGAUUAGUAAAUACACCAUGCAAGUAAAUUUUUAAUUCAUUUUGCUUGAGAAUUUUUCCUACAUUAAAAAUCAAUAUAUUUGAGUAAAAAUAGUGUCGGACUAUUUGAGGAACUUAAUGCAAUGUAGUUCAUGUUGAUGUUUUCCCAUUCCUUGAUUUUUUUUUUUCUUGUUCUUUUGCUUUCAGCAAACCUAUUGAGCCUGAUCGUCUAUUUAAUUGCCUUCCCAACUAUUUGCGACCGUCAGCAGUGGACCAACGUGAAAAUGGUAAGAACCAUCGCUCCGAGCAUUCUGCCAAAAGCUCGGAGGGCGCUGUUUAUAAACCUCCAACUCUCAUUCCUCCACGCAUUUUACCUCUGCUGCAUGACUUAGCCCAUCAAUUAGUUCAAGCUGGGCACCAACAGCAGUGCUUCAAAAUAUACAGGUACAACUCAAAGCUGUUCUGUUUUUCUUCGCAUUCAGGACUUCUUGUCAAGAUUUAUUUCAAUCUCAAUUUGGUUAUUUACUUUCUGGUGAAAGACUACACUACCUUGCGUUAACCACGUCGCAGGUUUUGGUGAUGCGACAUUUAAGUUUACAGGACAAAUUCUGGGUACCUUAGUAAAUAAACUAAACAAGUUUUAUGUUAAGAAGUGUCAAAAAAAAAAAGAACAUGUAGUUUCUGAAGAGAGAACUAAACAGUGAUACACCUUUUUGGUUGCAUUGUUGCAUUGUGGACAUGCAUGUAUCUACAUAUUCACUUAUGCGUAUUUCUACAUGGUGUGCGCAAGUGAAAUGUUUUUGAUCACCCAUUGCAUGAUGGAAGUGCUUCGGUAAUGUCGCCAAGAAAAUGCUAUUUCUUCUUGAUGAUGGAUUAAUUAGAUUUCUAUUGGAUCAAAUCAUCAGAGAUUACAGCAUUUUGGCACUCGUAUAACUAAGAAAUUGGAACAGGGAACGAAAGUGGCUAUGCAACUCACCACGACUCUGAUCAGGUUCUCUGAUACCUCAAGAAAGAUCUUGUGCUAAUUAAAUUUGUGCUGUCUUCUGCUAUAAUCCAAACAAAUCUACAAGAACCUUAGGUUGGUCAUCACUUGAUUCAAGGAGCACCUCAAAUCCACGAUGGAAACUUAAAAUUCACAAGCAAGAUGAAAAUAAUAUGUGCAGUUGUUUCUGUCCUUAAACAUCAUAAUUGAAGUAGUGGAGAUAAGUUUCAUGAUGAUUCUAGGGUAGCAUAUGCAAAACUAUCAAUAAAUAGUUGUAGAAUGCCUAGGUUUUCCCUGGAAUUGUUUCAAGGUAGAGGGAAGGCUAUUGGGAAGAGCGAUGGCUCAAAACAUCUGUAAGGCUCGUAAGGAAACUAGAAAUCCCUAAGCAUUUAUUAGCUGGGAUUUGAGUUAGAAUCAAUUUAAAAAAUCUAGUACAGACCCUGCAUUAUGUACGAUAGAAUCAUGGCAUGAGAGACCAAACCGAGAAGAGAUUACUUGCUCUCUCCAAAGCAGAUUUUCUGCCAUUCGGCUUUAACCAAUUACCAAUUCUGGAGUCUGCACUCUAAUUUGGACUGUAGGACUAUCCAUUUGCAGAGAAACUGCAAUACUUUGCUCACCCCCAAGAGGCUUUGGAAUUUGACAAGAAAUCCUCUCUAAAUAUGAUUCUACUUGAUCACUCUCUCAGUGUAAGUGAAUGAAAACAUACAAAUCAUACCUUAUAUGGUCUUGAGAGUGUGAAUCAAAGUCUUUUUGUCCAUUUAUCUUCGAAUUCAACUUGGCUUUGACAAAGAGUCAAACUGACCCAACUUAACUAAAUUUGCCAACACAUCAGGUUUUCUAACAGAUGAUUGGCAAAAUUGAUACCUUUUUGAUAUUGAUAUUUUUGACACGGAGGAUAAAUUCCGAUAUGGAUUGGCUUUGACUGGACAGACGGGGGGUUUUCCUUUCAAAAGUAUUAUGUAUGUGAUGAAGGUCUAGAUAAUGAUUAAUACAGAACUAUUAAAGAGGUAAAAACAUCCUUCAUCCAAAAAACUAUCCUGAUUUGUGGAAGUCUCUUAUUUGAUGACUGCCUUAAAAGCAAUUUAUCUCGUUUAUGUUACUAAGCAAUUUUUCUAUUGUCGGUAGCAGCUUUUGGUUCUCUUGAAUACCUAAUAACUCAUUUGUGUUGGUGAAAAGCAUUGUUUGCUGCUAAAUAGCUCAUCUAAUUACAAUCAUCAGUAUUACACGUUCUCCAGAUUUAUGUGUCUGUUUCUUCUUCUAGUGAAUGAAUGGCAAUUGAUUAUUCAUUUUCUUUCUUUCUUGAUUCAGAUGGACAUUCAUGUUUUUUUUUUUUUUUUUCUUUCAAUACUUUCUAAGGCAUAUACUUAAUUUCCCUUUUUGCCUUUAGCAAUGCUCGUGCUGCAGCAUUAGAAUCAAGCCUCCGGAAACUGGGUGUGGAAAAACUCAGUAAAGAAGAUGUUCAGAAGAUGCAGUGGGAGGCUUUAGAGGCCAAAAUUGGGAAUUGGGUCCACUUCAUGCGAAUUGCUGUGAGAAUCCUUUUAUGAAUCUGCUAUACAUGCGAUACCUUUUUUCUUUUUUUCCAAAUCAAUUGAUUGUGAUUAUAACAGGUCAAACUGCUCUUUGCUGGAGAACGAAAAGUUUGUGACCAGAUUUUUGAUGGUAUAAAGAUUCCCAAGGACCAAUGCUUUGGCGAAGUGACAAUGAACAGUGUAGAAACUCUUCUAAGCUUUGGUGAUGCAGUUGCUAAAAGCAAAAGGUCCCCAGAAAAGUUGUUUGUGCUGCUAGACAUGUAUGAAAUUAUGCAUGAACUACAGCCAGAGGUAUGUUAAGAAUUUUUUUCUGGAUGCUAAAUAAAAUCCAUUUAAAAUCAUCGCUAAAUCAAGUUGAGAAUCUUCUCUUAGCAACUUCUAACUCGGAAUGUCUUUUAUUUUGUCCGGUGGCCUAUUUUUUUCGUGCUGCAAAUUAAGUUUUUGAUUCUGCAUAAUAUACUUUUGCUUUUUGCGUAGUGUUCUCCAAAACUUAGGAAGAAGUAGACAGGAAGAGGAUCCAAUCCAGCUGUUAUGGUCUACCAGUUUGAAGGCAGAUACAGUUGAAAAUUUUCCACUAGAGGAAAAUCACCGAACUAAACCUUCAUGGAUGCAAAUUUUACAUGCAUGUUUGUUUAUGCAAAUUCUGAUAUUCAGCAUCUGUCGAAACUAGAGCCAGUAGAAAUUAUUGCUUCCUCAAAUCUUUGACCUUUAAUCUGAGAUUUUGAUUAAUAAGAAUUAGAUAAAUGCUUUUCAUUGUGAUUUACUACCUGUCUUGGAUUUUAAGGUGCCAUUUUUUGGCUCGUUGAGCCUUUACACUAAAAUUGUUCUUUGUGAUUUAGUUUUCUUCUCGGUUAAAAAAUCCCUUAAAGAAAUGGUCAGUUACAAGGAAUACAAUUUUAGUUAAAUUGUUCUUUCUGAUUUAAAUUAAAUAUUUUACGAUUUAAAUUAUCAUAAAUUUCUUUGAGAAUGGGGGUUUUAAUUUUAUAUCUUCCUAAUUUUACUCAUCAGUUUGAGACGAUCUUCGAGGGCAAAGCUUGUAUUGAGAUGCGCGAAUCUGUAGUGAGUUUGACUAAACGGUUGGCACAGACUGCGCAAGAAACAUUUGGUGACUUUGAAGAGCUAGUUGAAAAGGAUGCUUCAAAAACAACUGUUCUUGAUGGAACCGUCCAUCCACUUACUAGCUACGUUAUUAACUAUGUGAAGUUCUUAUUUGAGUAAGUCUAGACAUAUAUCAUCUUUCUUACCUGUUUUUGAUGAAAAGUUUACUGGCAAAUGAAAUUUAAUUAUUCCAUGGUCAUGUGCGUGCCUGUAGGCAAGUGAGCGAACUCGCUCUCGCGCACAUCUAUGCAUGCAUGUGUAUACGUGUCUUGGGAGUAAAUUAAUAUUAUCCUGCUCAUUAGGAUUAUUUCUAUCUAUUUGUUAAUCUAUCUUCACCAUUGACUCAUUGGGAAUCAUAUGUAAAAAAUUAAGGACUUAAUUCUUUCAGCAUAUCAAUUGUCAUAAAGCAUUUAAGAGACAUCAAUUGUUAUAAAGCAUUUAAGAGAUCCAUUGGGGGCAUUUAAUCUUUGCUUUCAACUACAAAAUCGCAAUGACUUGGGUUUGUUAAUUAUAAACAAUCCUUAGGUGAUUUUAUUGGAUAUUUCUAUCUUAAUUUGUCAUUCAUAAGAUGUUCGAACCUUGUUACGGGAAUCAGUAAUGUUUUACGUUGUGAAUUCAAUUGUUAUUUUUGGUGUGAAGUCAUAAAUCAUCUGGUGAUUACAAAUUUUUAUGUUUUAACUCCGUCCUAUCGUAAAGGAAAUAUCCACUUUUAGUAGUUUCUUGUUGAUAUAACCUUCUGAACGUGAACUGACGAAGUUGUACUUCUUAACUAUGCGCAGUUAUCAGUCAACAUUGAAGCAACUAUUCAUGGAGUUUGAAACUGGGAGUGAAACAGUGUCUCAACUGGCGAUAGUUACAACAAGGAUUAUGCAGGCUCUUCAGAAUAACCUAGACGGAAAAUCUAAGCUGUACAGAGAUCCGGCUUUGACUUACCUGUUUCUUAUGAACAACACCCAUUAUAUGGUUAGAUCUGUGCGGAGGUGUGUGUAUUACUAUUUUGCAUCUGACUUUAAUAGGGUUUUAAUUUUAUUUUUUUUAUUUUUUUUGGAAAUAUACCAUUCAAAAUCGAGAAAACUGCAAAAUUUAACCUUCAAAGUUGGUAUCUGCAUGUGUGCCCAGCAAAACUGAGUGAAUUUAUUUUGCAUUAGUAUCCCUGCUGGGGGCACGCAUGCAAAAGCUGUUUUUGCAUGGAGGGGCAUACAUGCAAAUACCAACUUUUGCCAAAAACACAACAAAAUAUGGAACUUUCCCAGGGACACUUGGUAUGUAUAUGUUUCCAGGUCAGAAGCAAAGGACAUACUGGGUGAUGACUGGAUCCAAAGACAUCGAAGGAUUGUUCAACAAAAUGCAAAUCAGUAUAGAAGGAUUGCUUGGAGCAAGGUUUGUCGAUAAACAAAAUCUGUAAAAUUUUCUCCUCCUUUCCUGAUUGAUUCUUUGACGCCGAAAUUUAUAUGAUGGGCUAUUUAAUAUUUAUCAUAGUAUUCUGUUGAGUCCAUAGCAUUUGAAGUACUUUGGAGUUUUCCUUAUUAAUUGAGUUACAUAUUUGUUUUUUUUUCUAAAGAGCAUUUUCUUACUAUCACUGUAUUUAUCCUUGACUAAUUUAAAAAUUAACACAUUCGCCCCUCUUUUCGACUCACACUUAUUCCUAGCCAUUGGAUAUAGACUGAUAUUACUACAAUCCUAUCCUUCAUAAUGGAAAGCAAACAAUAUCCCUACACGCUUGGCAUUUUUUAUCUCUUUUGUUUGUUUUUCCUUGAGCUCUUGUUGUUUUCUCCUAGGAAUGGUUUUACCUAGUUUUGCUAUUGUUCAUUGUUUGCAAACUCUAUGAUUAGUUCGUGUAAAACUACGGUAAUUUACUUUCCUUAUACUUCCUUUUCUAACAUUUUGAAAAAAAGACUAGUUUGGGGUCUAUUUAAUGAUUACGAGAAUAGAGACAUCCAUCCUUAGGCUCCUUGGAUAGUUGAAAAUUAAGAAAACAAAGCCAAGAAUCAUAAAAAAUAUCAAACAUGACCUAAAUAUGUGAUGGUAACCUUUUUUCUAGUUUUUCUGCAGUAAUUUAACUACCGUGCACUUUAUCCAGAUUCUCCAGACUCUUUCUGUUCAAGGUAUGAACUCCAGCGCCUCUAUGGCAACUGAUGGAGGUAACAGCAGUGGAGUUUCAAGAGCGGCAAUCAAAGAGCGGUCCGCACUUCAUCUCACAUAUUAUUAUCAUUUUUUUAUUUUGCCAUGGGAUUUCAAAAUUUAGUUUUCCUUUUUUUCCUCUUUUUUUUUUUUUUUUUUUUUUUUUUUUUUUUUUUUUUUUUUUUUUUUUUUUUUCAGGUUCAAGUCCUUCAAUAUGCAGUUCGAAGAGCUUCAUCAAAAGCAGUCCCAAUGGACGGUGCCAGAUCAAGAACUGCGUGAAUCUCUACGGCUUGCAGUUGCUGAAGUUCUACUACCAGCUUACAGAUCCUUCAUAAAGCGUUUUGGGUAUGUUCUUGACAAACUGAUAUUAUCUGCACUUGCAUUUAAGGCUUUUCGAAGAAGCAUUGAAAGCAUUUUGUUGUAAAGUCCGAUAAAGAGCUUCACGUAGUAGCAGAAGCAGAAGCCUUCUAACCAGCAAAAUUACUUCUCGUUUUUCUUGUGUUUCUUGUACUAGCAUUACCAUGCGAAUUAAUCUUUAAUUAAUAAUUUAUUGAAGUGAAUAGAAGGUCUAAACAACUAGAGGCACAUAUGAGGUUUACAUAUACAUUGACUAUUAAUGAUUACUGUGUUCAUCCUUGUGCACCUGCUGAGGUGGCAGUCUCUUAUUGGUGCCGUAACAACCGUUUGCCUCGUGAAUUGCACCAAAUUUACCCAAUUAAGGGGUAUAAAUCACGCAUCCUUCCACUUAUAUCUACAUUAGUCGGUGUAUAUUUCGGUAACUCUCCUGUGUCGAUAUCUAAGCUAUACUUUCUUUUAGACUUGAUAAUAUAUUUCUUUGGUUUGUAAAGUUGACAUCGUAGUGUCUAUGUGGUUUUACUUUUGAAAUAGCUUCUCCGCUUCCUACUCCGACUUGUAGGAGCUUGUAAGAGCCAGUUGCUCGGAUAACAAAUUUUUUGAGCUUUUGCUAUUGGUGGAGAGAAGAAUGAGCUUUUGGCCUCAAAAUAAGAUGCUCUAUUGAAGUUUCUGCAUAAAGUGGAAAACUUUUGACGUUGUAGUGGAAAAGUGCUUCUUUAAAGAGCUCCACUGAAAAAGCAGACCACCAAAAAUAGCAAUGCUGAAGUCUAGUAUCAAUUUCUUUGCUGCACUCAGUAUGCCUUUGGGACUCAUACUUGUCUAUCUUUUUUUAUCUCUCUUUUUUCGCAAUUAUAAUUUUUCAGGGCACUAGUUGAUAAUGGCAAGAAUCCUCAGAAAUACAUCAAAUACACUCCUGACGAGCUCGAAAAACUGCUCGGCGAGUUCUUCGAGGGAAAGAACUGAUGAACAAAGAAAAAGAAACUAAUCCUUUGUAAGAAUCCUUUCUCUUCUAUAAUUACAGCACCAGGUUUAGGGAAUGUGCAUAACUUUCUUUUCUUCGUUCUAAUACCACCUUACACAUGCUGACGAAAAACAAACCGUGGAUUCGUCCAAAAUCGAAACCUAGCAGAAUAUCAUCUCAUAUUCUUUUACUCGUGUAGCAUUAUAUACUGCUCACUAUUUUCAUGAAGACAAAAUUCAGAUUUACACGUUGAACCCUUUUUUUCUAUUAUUGUUAAUUUUGAUUUGAUAUUGAUUUGGUUUGUCCUGUGUACAUUGCUGCAGUUCUUGGUAUCUUUCUAUAGCCUUCAAUUGAUAAUCUAAAUAUUACGCAAUUUUCAAUCAGUUUUGCUAAUAUUUGGAUUUAAUAUAUAUAUAUAUAUAGAGAGAGAGAGAGAGAGAGAGUCCAGCUAUAGUGCUUAUAAAAGCACCAACCACUUGGUGCUUGUAAGUUUUUUACCAUUAUAUCUACUCCUCGGAUUAUUUUCAACCAUUAGAUUAUACUAUUCAACCAACUACCCACUCAACCCUAGAGGGUCUAUAUCAUCCUAACCGCAUAAAUUUUUGGUCACUACUCAGGUUGGAAUGGUUUUGUUUGGCUCAUCGCUUAUUGUAGAUUAUAAUAUCUAAACAGGUGCCAUGUAUUAUUAAAAUAUUUUCGAAAUAAAAAUAGUUCAUCUUGGGUCAGAAAAAGAUGAUGAAAUAAUUUUUCCUAUUUUCUUGCGACUCAGUUCACUCGAAAAGUACAUUAGAAAAGGUUACCUCAUGUAAAAAAUAGGUUUUAAGUAUCUUUGUUGGUUGUUUUGUGAAAUUUGAAUUUAAAUUUUUAGUUGAGCUCAGAUGAAAUUUACAUUGCCCUUUAUAGUGAUUCAACUCUUGUAGGGUAAAAUUUGGACCCGCCUUUUUUCGUUUUAUUCCCCUCCUCUUUUUGUAAACUCUAGCUUUUUUUUUUUUUUUUCUCUAACUUGUUUGUUUUUUCAAGUUGAGUUAUUCUCGUUGAAGAAUUGAGGAUUCCACUAGAAUUUAAAAUAGUUUCUUUAGAUAUUGAAUUUAACGAUAACGAAAAUCACUAUUUCAUCAGUUAAAAUGUAGAUAGAGCGCUAAAAUUUAGUUAAUGCCUGUUGAAUUUAAUAAAAUUUCUAGCUCAUCUAACGAAAAUAAUAUAAAGUAAAUAAAAAAGAAAAUUUAAGAGCUGGAGCUUAUCCGAAAAUAAAGUUUCUAGGAUGUAUUUCAGAAGAUGAAUAUAGUUGAGGGGUCUCUAUACAUUUUAGCCCAGACAAAUGCCUAGGUAUUGGGUAAAGAGGUGGAAAUCUGAAGCUAUUAAAAGGGUAAUUGCACUACUGGGCCCAACCUUUACCCAAUUUGUUAUUUUGGUCCUCAAUCUUUUUAAUUUGCAAUUAGGUUCUUAACCUUUAGAAUUAAUCGUACUAUUGGUACCUAACCUUUUUCAAUUUAUUCACUUUGGUCCCUAACCUUUUUGUAUAUAUAUAUAGAGAGAGAGAGAGAGAGAGAGUUGGGUUAGAAUACUAUUGAUAGCAAAAAGUAUUUUUUGCUAUCAAAUUUUUAACCUUUGGAUCAACUCCUUUCAUCAUUUCUAACUAUUAGAUUAAAUAUUAUAACCCAGUAAGGACCACUCAAUCCUGGGGAGACCACUCAAUCUUAACUGACUAAUAUCAUCCUAACUUUACAAUUUCUCAGCCAAGGGUUAAAAAUUUGAUAACAAAAAGAACUUUUUGCUAUCAGUAGUAUUUUAGCCCAACUAUAUAUAUAUAUAUAUAUAUAUAUAUUGUAUAUUCACAUACAUCAUGUUAAGCCAAUCUUACCGACUUUAAUAUUAUCCUUUACCCAGUGUAUCAGUAGUAUUAGAGCAUCAAGCGUUGUUAUCGUCGGGCAUGCCACUAAGCUCUUUCGAGAAUUUAAAGUCAAUACUGAAAUUAUCUGGAGGCUAUCGAACCACAGGUGGGGCCUAUGUGCAGAUAGGUUUUAUUUGAAUUAGAAUGAUAUAUUCCCUCAAAAUUAAUGAAAUACUCAAUAGAAAUAAAUAUGAGGUUAGGGACCGAAUAACCCAAAAAAAAAAAAAAGGUAAAAAUUAGGGACCAAUGGUGCAAUCAAUUCUAACUUUUGUAGCAGGAUCAAAAAUCGGAUCCGGAGCGAAAUAAAGUAUAAGGGUCGAUUUCAAAAUAACGCACAGUCGAGGGCUCUCCAUGCAUUUUUGCUGGUAAAAAUGCUGAUACACUGGGUAAAGAGAUGAGCAAUGUGAAGUUACCAACUUUUGAUGGAGGAAUCGAUGAUUGGAAUCAUUGGAUAAUGGAGGGAGAAGAUUCAAAAAAAAAAACAAAAACAAACAAAAACAAAAAUACAAAAAACAAAAAAAAAAAUCUGCAAAAGUAAAAGAGAAAGAGAAGCAUGUCAGUAAACAGCACAACAGCAAAUAAAGUUCUACUGGGGUUGUCAACUGCUGGGAUUCAGGACGAAUUUGAAUUUUCAAAAGUUUCAAUCCGAACCCCACUACUAAAUUCCAAAUUGAAAUUCGAAUUCGAAUUUGAAUUCCAAGGAUUUUAAACAUUUAUAUCCAAAUCUGAAUUCGACUAAAAAUUCAAAGCCUAAACCAGAACUCCAACCCGAAAACCCGAAUUCGAAAUAAUAAUUAUUAUUUUUUACAAUAUUUUAAAAUAUAUUAAAUUAAAUCUAAAUUUUUAAAAUACAAAUUCAAAUGUGAUAUCGAACGGUCAUUUUUAGGACCAUUUGAUCACUUGGUAAAUAAUAUCGAAAAAUUAUGAAAUUAGUUUCUAAAUAGUUCUAAUGGCGUGUGUCUAAUAGAGCCGAUCGUCGAAUCGGAUAUCGUAUCAUCGAAAACAACUUAUAAGCAUGGAGGCCUCUGCACUUUCAAAAGCGCAGGAAUCUAGAGCUCUCCCUCUCUCUCUAUAUAUAUAUAGAGAGAGAAUAUAGAGAGAGAGAGUCUCGCUACUAUACUAGCAAUAGUAUUGGGUUAUUUUAUUAUAUAGUUUUUAGCCGUUAUAUCUACUCUUUUAAUUAUUUCUAUUAUUGGAUCAAUACUAUUUAACCAACUAACACUAAACCCUAGAGGACCAAUAUAUAUAUAUAUAUAUAUAUAUAUAUAGAGAGAGAGAGAGAGAGAGAGAGAGAGAGAGAGAGAGAGAGAGAGAGAGAGAGAGAGAGACUACUGUACUCUUAUGAGUGUUGGGCCCUUUGUACUCAUAAAUUAUUUUCGAUGACAAAACUUCCGAAUCGACGAUCCACUCCGUUAAAUAUGAUCUAGAGUAUUUAAAACUUCUAAAAAAUAAAUUUUGUAAUUUUUCGAAAUCAUAAUAAAGUCUAUCAAGCAGGCAUAAAAUGAACGAUCAAAAUAGAAGCUGUCCUAAAAAUGAAUGAUCGGAUCCUUUAAUUUAAGAUCAGAGUUAUUGAUCUUUAUCUAGGUAGUGAAUAGAAUUUUCUAUCAAAAAGUCAAUCUAUUCCUUUUUUUUGCACCGUUAAACUAGUAAAUAUUUAGUAUCGGCCGUUAAAAAUUGUCAAUUUUGUGACCUUUUGAUCGUAAGGUAAAUGAUAUCGAAAAAUUAUGAAAUUUAAUUUUUAGAAGUUUUAAAUGCUCUAGAUAAUAUUUAACGGUAUGAAUCGUCGAUUCGGAAGCUUUAUCAUCGAAAAUAACUUAUGAAUACAAGGGCAAUCGUACUCAUAAGAGUAUAGUAGCUGGACUCCAUAUAUAUAUAUAUAUAUCACAUUUAUAUUUAUAUUCAGAAAUUUUAGACCUCACAUUGGUGACUUGUACAUAAUUUAUUAGCUACUUUUCCUUUCUAAAUAAAUGUAUACCAAAUAGCAGCUGGCUAAGAGGUUGAUGACCAGUAUUCGAGAUUUUAAGUUCGUAGUAUAUUUACUUUAUAUUCCUAACUAAGUUUGUUUUUUAAAAAAUGAACGAAGUAUGUAGCUUACUAUAUUUUUCUCUAAAAAAAAUAUUUACAUCCGUAAAUCCUUUUUAAUACACAUUACAUGCAUCUCCAUAUUGCAACUUAACUAAUUAUUAACAACAUUAUUAUAUAGUUGUNCAACCAACCACCACUCAACCCUAGGAGGUCUACUAUCAACCUAACCGUAACCACUCUCAUCCCAACCGCACAUUUUUUUCAUCUAAACGACAGAAAAAUUAUGAAUACAAAAGGCUCUAUACUCAUAUGAGUAUAGUAGCCCCAGCCUAUAUAUAUAUAUAUAUAUAUAUAUAGUCCCGCUGGGAUACUAUCGAUAGCACGAAGCAUUUGGUAAUAUCAAGUUUUCUGCCGUUAGAUUUACCUCUUUUAUCAUUUUCAUCCGUUCGAUUAUACUAUUCAACCAACCACCACUCAACCCUAGAAGACCCAUAUCAUCCUAAUCGCACAUAUUUCAAUCCAAGUGCGGAAAACUUAAUAGCACAAAGUCAUUGGUGCUAUUAAUGAUAUUCCAAUAUAUAUAUAUAUAUAUAUAUAUAUAUAUAUAUAUAUAUAUAUAUAUAUAUAUAUAUAUGGAUUCAAAUUGGAUUCGUGUUCGGAUCGGAUAGAAUCAAAAUCCAUAUCUAAUUCCAAAUUCAUCGAAUUUUCUUUUUUAAUAUCCAUAUAUCCAAAACUAUAUAUCUAUUUAGUAUCAGAUAAAGUCGCUCUUUUUCUGUUCGAAUUCAAAUAAAAUUUCGGGUAUCAUCUCUAAGUUCUACUUUGCAGCGUAGUAACAAAAUUUUUCCGAUUUCCAAAAAAUUCACAAAUAGUUUACAAAUUUUUAAUUAUCUUAAUAUUUCACUAAAUUAUUGAAAAUACUAAUAAAAAAAAAUACUAUGCAUAACCUAUUGUUUGAUAGCUAGUUCAUUCACUAAAUUAAUUAUUUCUUAUAUCUUUAACCCUCUAUUGCUUAAAUUUGAUUUUAAAAAAUUGAAUGUUUCCAUAAAAAUUUUGUGCUUCUAUAUUUUCUUCGUUCGAAAUGUUUAUAGUUUAUAAAUCCAAGCAUAUUUUGGCUAAAAUGUAAAUUAUUUUCCUAAUCAUGCGUUGCACUUAAUCUAUAUUGAUAAAAAAUAGUAAAAGUUAUAUAGAAUUUAUCAGAACUAUGAACUAUUUUGAAUUAUUACCGACCUUUCGAAAAUUUAGUUUUACUAUCCAAUCUUUUAAUUUUUUUGAUUUAAGUUAAUCAACGGCAUUUUGACUUCAAAAUCUGAGUGCAUCGUUUAUCUUUACAAGUUUAAUUAAUAUAAGUCAUAUAAUUUUCUCAACUAUAAAUUUAUUAAAAUAAAAAAUUUGUUUAAAUUUUAAAGUCAAAGUGCCGUUGAUUCAAAUCAAACAAAUUAAAAAAUUAGAUAGUAAAAUAAAAUUUUUGAAAGAUUGGAUAGUCGAUUCAAAAUAAUCUAUAAUUCAAAUAAAUUCUAUACAUUUUUAUCCAUAAGAAAUAUGCACUUAGACCUCUUCAAAUCUUUAAAUCUCAAAUACUUUUAAAUGAUACAAACAGUGCAACUUAAUCUCAAAUUGUGUAACUUCAGUUUAAUAUGGUAUAAUUUAAUCUCAAAUAGUUUUAAAUAGUACAGCUUAAUCUCAAGCAUUACAACUUCUUAUUCUUCUUUUUUUUUUCCUUUAUUUCUUGGCAUUUUCUGUAGAGGCCAUACGGCAUUAUCACCUUAUGUUUCUUUUUCUUCCUUUUCUUUCAUCCUUUACAUUUUUCUUUGUCUAUUGUGCUCGUUCCCUCGCGCUCUAUCCCAGCAAUCGCCUUCGCCUUGACACAUUCUCCUUUUCCGUCGUCCUCAAAUUCUGCGAUAGUCUCGUGGUCGUUCACGGCCACGCCCUCCGCCACAGCCUCAUCUCUGCAAUCUGUAUCAUAUCCAAACCCGCGUUGCCACUAUUGGCGUCGGCAAAAAUGUGGACAAGAUAGUAGAGAGGAGCGCAGCAUCAAGGAAGAGAAGAGAGAGAAUAAGUAGGAGGAGAAAAAUAAAAGCAAUGGUAAAAAAGAGGAAGAUGCAAAGGACAGAGAAAACGAACUAACAAGGAACGAGAGAGAAAAAAGAAUAAGAAUAUUUUAUUUGAUCUACUAAAAAUUUUGACCUAAUCUUCAAAAAUUUUAAAAAGUGAUCAAUUCUCGCAAAAACGUAAAAUCGAUGGAUUUUAUACGCAAAUUGGCUUAUAAAUAUUUUACAAUAUUAAAAAUAAAAAAUUGUAAGAUUAAAUAUAUUAAAAGAUUAUUAUUUAAGUAUCCUAUGUGAUAGUAAUGAGUAAUUAUUACACCAUGACCGUUGACAAUGCGCAAUUACUCCCACCCACGACAUUAAAUGCUCUCGCGAAAAAGGUACGAAUUUGGUUCACAUAAUUACAUAACAUAAAAUAAAAUAAAAUAACAUAAAACCCUCUUAAUCCUUUUUCAAAUUUAAAUUUGUGUUCUACAAAUCAGAUAAAAUAGCAAAUUGAUAUAUAUUAUAAAGGUUAAGAAUAUAGAAAAUUUUCUUAUAAAUAUUUUUUUUAAAAAAAUUUAUAUUUUAUUUUUAUAAUUUUAAAUUGAUGUAUUUAUUUCGCUCUGUCAAAAUUUCAUGUCUGUUCCGUUUAUUUUUUUAAUUUAAAAAUAUAUUUAAGGAUAUCAAAAAUACAUUUAAAAAAUAUCACACUUCUACCACUUUUAAUGGUAAAUUUUACCAUAUAUUUAAGUACAAAAAAUAGCAAAUAAAAUAAAAAUACGUUAAACCAUAAAUAAAAUAUAAUGUAAUAUGAUAUUUUUUUUUGAACUUCCAUUAUUGUGGUAUAUUUGCAGUGUACUGUUAUAUUGUUGAAAAAAAAAAUAUUUGAGUAUCAUAAAUUUUAAAUUGAAUUAUUUUACCUAAAUAUUUUAUUCUGUGACGAAUAAUACGAAAAACACUACAUUAUAUAAAUCAUCACUUCACCACCACAUAUGCUUCGUAAAAAAAAAAAAAAAAAGCGUUUUAUUAUCUUUUUUUUCAACAAUAUAUAUUUACAAAACAUAAAAAUACAAAUUAUUUAGACUUGUGAACUAGUAUAAUUUUUAGAAUAUGCAUAUUUUGCACUUUAUAAACUAUAGAAAAAUAAAAUACAAUAUAUUAUUUAUUUAUUUAUAAUUUUUAUUAUUUUUUAUAGACUAAUAUUUUUAGAAUUAUAAAGUGAUAAAGUAAAAAUGUGCUAUAUAAAAAGGUUAUAUUAAUUACAAGCUAGUUUAUAAAAAUAAAAAAGAAAAAAAGGAAAAUAAAAAAGAGCACAAAUCCUAGAACUAAAAAAUUUCGUGGGAAACCAAAACCCAUCUCACCUAUUCUCUUCUCAGUUCUCACUCCCUUUUCUUAUUACAACAACUCACUCAUCGUCCCCGGCUCCGGCGAUUCCUCCGCCGCGUGCGCCGGCGACCCCGCCGGAGUAUAAAACGGCGUCUCCCCCUCCUCCUCCUCCUCCUCCUCCUCCUCGGUAAUCGUGUACAAAACCCUAGUCGUCGCCGCCGCGCCGAACCACAUGGCGCGCCACGCGCCCACAUCGCACUCCUCCUCGUCCUCCUCCGGCUCCGGCUCCGGCUCCCGCGGCGGCGGAGGGGGGGGAGGGGGUGGCUUCGCGGCGGCGGCGGCGGCGGAGGCGGAGGAGGUGGAGGGCUCGAUUCGGGUGGGGUUUUUCCAGCAGAGGAGGCGGAGGAGGAGCUUGGGCGUGGCCCCGAGCUCGGGAUCGGAGGAGGGGCGGGGGCGGGGGCGACGGCGGCGGAGGAGGAGGAGGAAGAGGAGGUCGGCGGAGAGGGCGAGGAGGGAGAGGGCCGGGAGGAGGCGGAGGAUGGAGAGGAGGGGGUCGUCGGGGAGGUGGGUUAGGGUUAGGGUUAGGGUGGGGCAUGCGCUCCACCAGCUCCACCUCAUCGGCGGCGGAGGCGGCGAUCGGUGGGGGUUGCUCGAUGUCGGGCGAGGAGGGAGAGGGCGAGGGCGAGGGCGAGCGCGACGCCGAGCUUCGCGGCGCCGCUCAUGGCGGAUGGAGGUGAGUGACGAUCGAGAACUAUAGCUAGCUAGCUAGGGUUUCAUUUUCGUCUAUACGUUGUUAUGGCAAAUAAUAAUAAUAAUAAUAAUAAUAAUAAUAAUGAGAAAGGUGAGGGGGUGAAGUGUAAAAAUCUGAGGAGGGAGCAUAAAUGCGAGAGCGGAGGAAGAAGCAGAAGAAGAAGAAGAGCAGCACGGAUUCAUGAAUUUAAAGCGGACACGGGGAACAGAGACAGAGAGAGAGAAAGAGGGGGUACGGGUACGGCCUCUUGUCCGUACCGCUUGGUAACCGGCUAUAGCCGGUGAAGUAAAUAGCCAAUGCCAAUGCCAAUGCCAAUGCCAAUGCGCUCACUGGGUGAACCAGCUUUUUUUUUCUUGCCCCCAUAGGUCCCAUCAUUAUUAUCUCAUAUAUAUGAUAUGAUAAACCUUCCUUUUUCUUUUUCUUUUUUUCUUUUUUUUCUUUUUUUAUAUCUAAAGCCCUUUUAUUUGAAUGUUAAAUAUAAUUUUUUAUUUGUGAGACUCCAGUUAGCCCUAUAUAUUAGCAGAAUAUUAUAGGGCUAAAAAUUCUUAACUCGGUUAUAUAUAGUAUUUUGGACAAUGGCUAAACCUGAGAGGUUGAGAGAAUUAAGCGUGAUAAGAUUAAGGCAACCGUAGAAUGGAUGACUCCCUGAAAAGUAGGGUAUCAUAGUUGGUAUCAGAGUCAAUUAUCAAUCGAAAGUACGAAAUGAGUCUCGGCUGAGCCAGAGUUAUAUAGCGGAGAGAGCGAGACUCUCAUACCGUUGACUGUUGUGGGUGGAGUGUGGCUUCUCCACAAGUAUCGGUUAAGACUAGCGAAACGAGUCUCACAUUGUCUAAUACUUAUGAAUUUGAGUCUGACUAGGACGUCGGGACUUAAAGGAGAAGGAGAAUGUGAGACCCCUUGUAGUCCCAUACAUAGGACAUAAUAGGGCUAAAGGAUCUUAACCUGUCUAUAGUAUUUUGGACGGUGACUAGAUUCGAGAGGUUAAGAGAGUUAAGUGUAUUAGGGUUAAAGCAGUCCUAAAAUAGAUGAACCUCGGAAAAGUGGAGUGUCACAUUAUUAAAGAAAUGCUUUUAAUUUCUCACUUAUAUGCACCUAAAAAUGCUACAUUUACACAUGAUUUAAGAUUUAAUAUUUAAUUAUAAUAUACUUAUUAAGAUUUAAUCAUAAUAUUGCCAUCUUAUUAAUAAUAAUACCCUAGUAGGAACAUGAUACAGAUAUAAUGGGAAGUAGAAAUUUUAGUUUUUACUAUUUCAAAAAUUUUGACAUUCAUAAUUUAAUUGAAUUGUUGGUUUUACUGAGGUGAUUUAUUUUAUUUCAAAAAGGAGAAAAUAAAAAAGCUCCAAUGUUGGAGCUUUUUCAAAAUGCACUGCGAUGCAGCUCACCCAUAAUAUUUUGUUCUAAAUAUUUGAUCAAACUUUGUAUCCAUUAAAUACUAUUCUGAAUGAUAAUUUAUUUGGUAAUGUGAUAGAAAUAAGGAGUUUAAUUUAUGCUUCGUGAAAGUCUUGGCGUCAAUGACUUAAUGGGAUUAUAUAAUUCAUAUCAAAAAUAAAUAUGAUAUACAAAUUUAGGUAUUUGAUCGCACUCCUUAUCUACCAAAUAUUAUAUAUAUAAUAAUUCAUGAGUAAAUAAAAUAAAUAAAAUAAAAUAUUCACGCAUUCAAAUAUGUUUUAAGUUUUCAUAGCCUCAAAUUCGAGUUUCUGAAUUUCUGAGUUUAACGUAAACUUUUAUAGAAAAUGAUGUAAAAUAGUCCGCAUAUGCAAUUCUAUAUUAUCUCAAUAUUAGAGAAUCAUAAUAUGAUAGAGAGAAGAGACCGGUUCACGGUGGACCACGGUCCACGCAACAGUUUCUCCAAGAAGAAGCCGUGGGAGAUGGUUUUUAAUGGGGACAAAAUAUAUAUAUAUAUAUAUAUAUAUAUAUAUAUAGAGUGAGGCUGCUAUGCUAUCGGAAGCACGGAGCCUUCCGUGCUUCCAGCUCGUUUUCGAUGUUGCGACUUUCGAAUCGUCGAUCGGCUCCGGUAAACUUGAUCUAGAGUAUUUGAAGUACCUAGAAAAUAAAUUUUAUGAUUUUACGAUAUCAUUUGCCUAGUGAACGAAGGGGCUCAAAAUCAACGGCUGAAAAUAAAAAUCUUACAAAAUGUAAUAAUAUGACAUUAAAAUUUUAAAUCAAAGAUAUUGAUCUUGUUUUAUAUAGUAUAAAGAAUUUUCUAUCAAAAUUUCACGUGAUUUGGAUAUUUCUACACCGUUAAACUUGCAAACGGCUCACUACGGCCAUUGAAAUUUGUUGAUUUUGAGCCCAUUCGAUCACUAGGCAAAUGAUAUCGAAAAAUAAUAAAAUUUAUUUUCUAGGUACUCCAAAUACUCUAGAUCAAGUUUAACGGAGCCGAUCGACGAUUCGAAAGUCGCAACAUCGAAAACGAGCUGGAAGUACGGAAAGCUCCGUGCUUCCGAUAGCAUAGUAGCCUCACUCACUCUCUCUCUCUCUCUCUCUCUCUCUCUCUAUAUAUAUAUAUAUAUAUAAAGAAAAAGAAAAACUAAAAUACAAAAAAUUUAUCAAUAACUAUUGCUUUUUAACUUUUUAUUUUUCCAUAACUUUUAAAAAUGUAUAUUUUAACCUCUCAAAAUUUUAAAUUGUUGUAUUUUAGCCUAGCUUUAUCAAGAUUCUGUUACUGUUCCGUUUAUUUCUUAUAAUUUUUAAUUAGGUGCAUGAAAAAUUUCAUUGAAAAUAAAAGAAAUUUUAUAUAUUUUUUU